UUAUUUUAAAACACAAACAACUAGUUCAUUGAAAUGAUAACUUGUUUAGUACACAAACAAGAUCUUACUUAAUACAUAGAAAUAAGAUCUUACGGAACAUAGAGAUUAAAAACAUAGGAACAACAUGAAAAGUUUUUAAAAUGACAUAGAUAUUGAUUAACAAAGAUAUGAACUAGUUUCGGGUAUUUUUUAACCAUCCAUCAAGGUAAACUUGUUUGGAGUCAGGGGUGGAUUUUGGUCUAAUAUCUUUCAACCAUCCAUCAAGGUAAACUUGGUUGGAAUCAGAGGAGGAUUUUGCUUUUUCAGCUCGAGUGUCUUUCAACCAACCAUCAAGAUAAACUUGUUUGGGAUCAGAGGUGGAUUUUGUUUUCUCUGCUCGAGUAUCUUUCAACCACCCAUCAAGGUAUACUUGGUUGGAGUCAGGGGUAGAUUUUGUUCUCUCGUUUCGAAUAUCUUUCAACCAUCCAUCAAGGUAAACUUGGUUGGAAUCAGAGGAGGAUUUUUCUUUUUCAGCUCGAGUGUCUUUCAACCAACCAUCAAGAUAAACUUGUUUGGGAUCAGAGGUGGAUUUUGUUUUCUCUACUCGGGUAUCUUUCAACCACCCAUCAAGGUAUACUUGGUUGGAGUUAGGGGUAGAUUUUGUUCUCUCGUUUCGAAUAUCUUUCAACCAUCCAUCAAGGUAAACUUGGUUGGAGUCAGAGGAGGAUUUUUCUUUUUCAGCUCGAGUGUCUUUCAACCAACCAUCAAGAUAAACUUGUUUGGGAUCAGAGGUGGAUUUUGUUUUCUCUACUCGGGUAUCUUUCAACCACCCAUCAAGGUAUACUUGGUUGGAGUCAGGGGUAGAUUUUGUUCUCUCGUUUCGAAUAUCUUUCAACCAUCCAUCAAGGUAAACUUGGUUGGAGUCAGAGGAGGAUUUUUCUUUUUCAGCUCGAGUGUCUUUCAACCAACCAUCAAGAUAAACUUGUUUGGGAUCAGAGGUGGAUUUUGUUUUCUCUACUCGGGUAUCUUUCAACCACCCAUCAAGGUAUACUUGGUUGGAGUCAGGGGUAGAUUUUGUUCUCUCGUUUCGAAUAUCUUUCAACCAUCCAUCAAGGUAAACUUGGUUGGAGUCAGACAUGGUUUUUGUUUGCUUUGCUCGAGUAUUUUUCAACCAUCCAUCAAGGUAAACUUGGUUGGAGUCAGAUGUAGAUUUUUCUUUCUCAGCUCGGGGAUCUUUUAACCAUCCAUCAAGAUAAACUUGUUUGGAGUCAGAGGUGGAUUUUGUUUUCUCUGCUCGGGUAUCUUUCAACCAUCCAUCAAGGUAAACUUGAUUGGAGUUAGGCAUGGACUUUUCUUUCUCGACUCUGAUAUUUUUCAACCAUCCAUCAAGAUAAACUUGGUUUGAGUCACUUGCAGGUUUUGUUUUCUCAACUCGGGUAUUUUUCAACCAUCCAUCAAGGUAAACUUGGUUGGAUUCAGAGGUGGAUUUUGCGUUCUCUGCUCUGGUAUCUUUCAACCAUCCAUCAAGGUAAACUUGGUUGGAGUUAGGUGUUGACUUUUCUUUCUCAGCUCUGAUAUCUUUCAACCAUCCAUCAAGAUAAACUUGGUUGGUGUCACCGGUAGAUUUUGCUUUCUCAGCUCGAUUAUCUUUCAACCAUCCAUCAAGGUAAACUUGGUUGGAUUCAGAGGUGUCUUUUGCUUUCUUUGCUCUGGAAUCUUUUAACCAUCCAUCAAGAUAAACUUGAUCAGAGUUCUGGGAGGAUUUGGUUUUCUCUGCUCGUGUAUCUUUCAACCAUCCAUCAAGAUAAACUUGGUUAGAGUUAGCAAUGUGUUUUUGACUCUUCAAUGGAUUUUUGAGCCAACCAUCAAGGUAAGGUUGAUCAACUUGUAUUUCUUGUACAUUCUCUUGCUGAAGUUUGAUAUAUCGGGCAAAGCUUCCUUGUCCAUUCUAUAAUACAAUUGAAUAAAUGGAUAUUAGUGAGUUAUUUUUGGAUGGUAUAUAUGAUUACAAAAACAAAAUAAUGUGUUUUAUAAGACACAUUAUGUUGCACAGGUGAGACACAUUCAUUAUAUAUUUCAGAUGGAUACAAAAUGUGAAAUAAAAAUGAAAGAAAAACAAUUUUUAAAAUUUCAUUGCGGCAUAGAAAACAUUAUUUUAUCAAAUCAAAUAGAACAACUUGAUUGUAAGUGAAUGAUGAAAUCAAAUCAAAUAAAGAUGAGAAAUGAUAGAUUGUGAUAAAUAAAUGAUGAAAAAUAUAAGUGUAAAAGAUACAAGAAUGGAUGCAAAGUUAGUAACUUACGAUCAACAAGAGCAUGAUAAAAGGGAGGAGAAACAAAACAUCUUUGUGUGUCAUUUCUUUAAUGUUAUGAUUUUGUGGGAAAAUUGUUUUAAUGUGAAAAGAUGUAUUGAAAUGGAAGUGAAUUGGGCUAUUUAUAAGUGAAUGAAAAGAAAAACUACAUUAAGGAUAUUAAGGACAUUGCGACUUUGGUUGGCAAGAUUAUUUUUUAAAUAUUUAAUUUAUUUUAUUUUUUAAAUGUUUAGUUUAAUUUAUAAGUUUAUAUGUCUAAGAAAGAUCAAUUUACUUUUUCCAAGAUCUAUUAGGUGUGUUGUUUUGAGUUAUAAAUAAAAAAUUCAAAAAAUUGUUUGUUUGGUAUCAUUUUUUUAAUUAGAAGCUCCUAACUAAAUUCUCCAGGUUUAAAAUAAAUAAAUUUUAGAAAAGCUACUGCAAUUAGUUUUUUAUUUUAAAAUUAAAAAUGAUUCUCUUAAAAACUUUAAUAAAAACCUAUUAAAAUGAUAAAGGUGAUUUUUUAAAUGUUAAACAAACAUUUAUUUUGAUAAGUUAUUUCAAAUAAUUUAAAAUUUCAUAAAUUUAUUUUAAUUUAUAAUUGAAGUGGUAAUUAUCAUAAUCUCGUCUCUUGAGUUCUAAUAUUUGAGCUAAUAGUAUAAAUAUUUUUUAGUUGAAUUAAAAUUUGCAUUAAUGAUAGUUUCAAUUUUACAAUUAAUUAAACUAAUUUAGUAGUUAAUUUUAUUAAGUGUAAUAAAUGCAAUGAAUUAAUUUAACUACAUCCCCUUUAAUUCGAGGUGGGUGUAGGUAUUCCGAGACAUUCAAAUUUGAAGACUAAUAUAUAGAUUAAAAUUAUUUAUUAAUUUAUUUAAUGGUAAUUACAUAUUACAAAAUUUCAUUUUUGGAAAAAAGUUAUUAUUUUAAUAUUUUAUAUUUUUUAAUAGUUAUUAUUUUAUAAAAUUAAUUAUAAUGAGUAUAAUAUUUUAAUUUUAUUAUCAUCAAAUAUACACGACAUCAAAAUUACCAAACAUGAAAUCUAAAUAUAGGGAUCCAAUUAAUUGAAUUGGAAUUUACAUUGUGAAUCAUGAGUCUUCUGCCACCAAUUCCUAGGGACUCACUACCUAGCAAACAAUGAAUACAAAAUAGUAUCACAAGAAACACUAAAAUACUGUGUUGACCCUUGCAUGUUUAAGAUGUUCACAUGUAGCUAGGGUUUGGGUGGUUAUGUAGUUAUGCUUACCUAAUAGUAAGACUGUGUUGACCUUUGCAUGUUUAAGAUGUUCACAUGUAGCUAGGGUUUGCGUGGUUAUGUAGUUAUGCUUAUCUAAUAGUAAGUUAAAAAAUUGUAGUUAUCUAAAAAGUAAUAAAUUAUUAUAUUGACCGGUCUAAAGAGAAGAUAGAUAAGUUANGUAGUUAAUUUUAUUAAGUGUAAUAAAUGCAAUGAAUUAAUUUAACUACAUCCCCUUUAAUUCGAGGUGGGUGUAGGUAUUCAGAGACAUUCAAAUUUGAAGACUAAUAUAUAGAUUAAAAUUAUUUAUGUUCGUCUUAUAUAUUUUUUUUUUAUAUUUUAAUAUAAAUAUUUAUUAAUUUAUUUAAUGGUAAUUAUAUAUUACAAAAUUUCAUUUUUGGAAAAAAGUUAUUAUUUUAAUAUUUUAUAUUUUUUAAUAAUUAUUAUUUUAUAAAAUUAAUUAUAAUGAGUAUAAUAUUUUAAUUUUAUUAUCAUCAAAUAUACACGACAUCAAAAUUACCAAACAUGAAAUCUAAAUAUAGGGAUCCAAUUAAUUGAAUUGGAAUUUACAUUGUGAAUCAUGAGUCUUCUGCCACCAAUUCCUAGGGACUCACUACCUAGCAAACAAUGAAUACAAAAUAGUAUCACAAGAAACACUAAAAUACUGUGUUGACCCUUGCAUGUUUAAGAUGUUCACAUGUAGCUAGGGUUUGGGUGGUUAUGUAGUUAUGCUUACCUAAUAGUAAGACUGUGUUGACCUUUGCAUGUUUAAGAUGUUCACAUGUAGCUAGGGUUUGCGUGGUUAUGUAGUUAUGCUUAUCUAAUAGUAAGUUAAAAAAUUGUAGUUAUCUAAAAAGUAAUAAAUUAUUAUAUUGACCGGUCUAAAGAGAAGAUAGAUAAGUUAUUAUAAUCAAAUAUUAUCUAAAAAACAAUAAAUUAUAAGGAAUAUAGUUUCAUUAUUUUUAUGUUUAUUUAAAAAAUAUAAAUAUUUUUUAAAUUAAUGAUAAAUAAUUGAUUUUAAAUGUGAUGAUGGUUUAUAUCUUUACAUAAGAAACUAAAUGAUAAAAUGUGAAUAUUCAUAUCUAACAUUAAAUAUUUAUCUAAAUAUGUAGGCCAGCCUCAUAUUUAUUGUAAAUUUUUUAACAAAGCUUUUAAUAAUGUAAAUUAGAAUAAUGUAGGCCAGCCUCUCUAUUUAUAUAAAAAAAAUAUUUUUUAAAAUAUUUUUAUAAUAAAAAUAUAAAAUUUGUCACAAAACAAUUUUAUUAUUUUAUUAACUAUAAAAAUAUAGGUUAUAAAUCACAUAUUUCAUUUAUAAUUCAUUAACCAGUAAAAUACGUAAUAUUAAUCAAAUUAUAAUAUUAAAAUAUGAAAUACACAAUUUGCUUAAUUAUUAAUUAUUAUAUUUUAUAUUUUAAUGUCAAAAUUUAUUGAUAUUAUUUAUUUUAUUAAUUGAAUACAGUAAUAAAUAAAAUAUAUGGUUAAUCACCUAUAUUUUUGUGAUUAAUAUAAUAAUAAAAUUAAUUAAUAACAAACUUUAUAUUUAUAUUAUAAAAAUAAUUAUAAAAAUAAAUCAAAAACGAGUUUAAGACAACAUAGGAAAAAGGGAGACUCGGAUAUCGUAUCUCAAAGACGGUUGAAUUAUUAUUAAUAUACUGGAAUCGAAUUGGGGGUUUAUAUUUGAUUCAUAAUAAAUGAUUAUGAAAAGUGAUUAUAAAAUAAGUUGAUUUAUUGAUUCGGUUCCUACCUACCAUUGAUUAUUAUAGCGCGAAUGAAAGUGUAAGAAUUAUGUUUCUUAUUUGCUGAAUUAAGCAAUCAGUUAAGAUUAAAGCGAAUUAACGGAUUAAGCAUACGUUAACACGCAAUCAAAAUUAGGGAACAAUAAAUAUUCAAAUCAAACAAAAUUACUAAGUUUGAAAUUGUACCUCAUUCAGGUCUUGGUUCAAGCAUCCCUAUGUGCAUCACAUUUAACUUUGCAUAGGCCAUGAACUCAAGUCUUUUGGUAUGGAAAAAUGCAUAGAUCCAUAUGCCCGAUUCACUUCAUUCAUAUGAUGCAGAUGAUCAAGGAUGAUUGAUCCAUUUAAGACUUAGUUCCAUUGGUUCAUUCUUUGUUGCUUAAGAAAUCUCAGGGUUUUACUAAGAAGAAAGAGGUCGAGACCAGUGUCGUGAUAGUAAAUAUCUACCCUCAAGUUCAAGCACCUAUGACUCAUGUGUCAUACUACCCUUAUCUGUACAUUGUCGCUGCUCAAUAUCAGCAACCUGCAUACCAACCGCAAUAUCAACAGCCUCCAUGGGCUCCAAUUUCUCAGAAUCAACAAAAUAGCAGAAACCAGAGUCUAGGUCAGGGCAGACGUUAUGAUAGAAAACGUCCUCAGCCUGACCAUAUCCCUGUAUCAUACACUCAGUUGUUGUCGUAUCUUGUCCAGUAAGGAGCAAUUGCGCCAAAAGAGAUUCCGCCUGCAACUCCUCCCUAAAAUCACAAGCAUAAUCCUAAUGUGUCUUGUGCAUUUCAUGUCGGAUACAUAGGGCAUUCUACAGAGGAUUGUUUGGUCCUCAAGACCAUAGUACAAGAGUUAAUUGAUCAUAAGGUUUUGUAAUUCUCUGAGGCAGGACCCAAUGUCAUAACCAACCUAUUGCCAGACCACUGUGGACAGAUAGUGAAUGCAGUUUAUGGCGAAGAUUCCUCAGAUUCAGUUGAUUCUUCAGAGAAGUACUGAUGCUAGCAAUAUCAUAUUGAUUCAAUCAUGUAUCAUUUGUAAUCUUUUCUUGUUUGUUAAUUGUUGUUCAUUUGUAAAACUUGUCUGGUUUUUCAGAUGAUAAUAAUAAUGAAAUAAGCGUGCAUGUUUUGCUUAAAUCCAUUCGUGUUCACUCAUAUUUUAUUUUAUCAGUAUCAAAUUGUUUGUCGAACAAAAUCAAAAGAGAAUGAUGAAAUUAAAAAUAUGCAAGAUCGCUGUUUGUAUGCUUUUGAAUAAGAUCAUGUUGAUGAUGCAAGGCAUUGUUCAAUCCCUAAACACCGGAGAUAUAAGGAAGAUAAUCCCUAGUCAACCCAUUUGGAUGUUGUAGUAGGAGUUUCUUUCUUUAACACAUAAAAUCCUCAUGCUUAACUAGGGGCAGGGUAUUCUUCAUUUAGUUUAGACUUGCAUUCAAAUUUCAGAAGGAGAAUAUCUCAUCCAGUGAUCAAUCAUAUCAUAUCCCUCUCAAGAGGAUGGAAUCACAAAUCCAGGAUGGUUAUCCCUUACCAUUCAAAAGGAGUGAGAUAGUCACGACCCAUGCAACAAAUCAAGAAAGUCGUGUCACACGGUUUUCUCUAGUACAAAAAGAAAAGAUGAAAAAAUUAAAAGUCCGCUAAGUCAAAAACUUGAAAACAAGAUUGACUUAUAUGUGUGUGUUUGGGGUGAGUCUGGAGAUGCACCUUCGAACUUCGAAAUGUGUGAGCUUUUUUGUAUUUUUCAUCUCAUGCCCUAGUAAUAUAUAUGGUGCAUUAAAAAAUAUCCAUAAAUUAAGGGAUUUGGUUAACACACUCUUAGGAUUGUUUUUCGACCCUUGUGAAAAAUCAAAACUACCUUUAGAAUUCAGAAAUAAAUCUUUGGACGCACCUCAAACACACACACAAUCAAUUCAUUUUUGAGUCAUGAAGUUAAUUAGGAAAUGCAUCUCCUUAAAUAUUAACGGGGGUGUAUUUUCCAAACCUAUUGAACCACACAGAAUUGCAUAAACCAAACAGAUGCAGAAAUAAAGAUAAAUCACAUUGAUAACAUGAAAAAUGAAAUAUUACAUAGAUAAUCGUUAACAUAAAUCGAACUUUGCAUUUGAACAUCAAGAUGGACGUUUCAACAUAUUUAUAAUAUCUUUUAUCGAUCUCGCAAUCAUCGCAUCCAACUUGAUCAAACAUUUUAUUUCGUAACGGUUAAAUGUAUUUCACAUAACUCUUAAAUCCGCAUCCGUCUUCAGCUUAAAGUUGUUGAACUGAAUCUACCAUUCAUUAUCAACCGAGAGUGAACCUUACUUGAGUUUCACAAUUCUUCAAUGAACUUAAAUGCAAUUGAGGACUCCGCGUAGUUGAGUCAUAUUUCAUGGAGACUCAUAAUGCGUCCAAAAAUGCAUUUCCAAAAUUUUAGUGGCAUUUUUAAAUUUUUAUAGGAUGGUUUUCCAGCACUUAUGUAGAGAUAAACAAUUUCCUUAUUAAAGGUCUCUGAGAGGAAUUGAAAUAAAUAUAUUUAAAAAAUUAGUAUUAUACUUAUUUAAGGAAUAAAGUUUUCUAACCAAAAAUUUUUCCCUAAUUUUUUUGUGCCUAAUUUUUUUGCUAACAAAAUAGAGACCUGAUUAUAUUUCACUAAUUUUCAUUCAUCUCUCAAUUAAUAUCUCUCAUAACCCUCAUUAACUCUCAAUUAAUGUAAUUCAUAUCAAUUAAUUGUUUUUUGAAAAUUUUGUAUCCGGCUUCGGACCAACUAGUUUAGUGAAUUGCUAAUUUCAUCUUUAAGUGUUGGAAAAAUACCUUAUAAAAAUUUGAAAAUACUCUUCUGAUUCCAAAAAUGCAUCUUCGGACGCAACUUGCACCUCACCAAAACACGCUUCAACUUGUUGAUGUUUUUUAUGUAAUUCAAGUGGUGUAACUGGUUACCUCAUGUGGUGUAAACGGUUACCACUAAAGUUGAUUUAAUUCAAUAUCAGAUGUAACCGAUUAUCCACUUUUGUGUAACGAUUACAAGCUUAAUAUUUUGAUUUUUUCUGAUAUUUUACUUGGUCAAUUCAGUUCCCAAUUGUGUUGUAUCUCUUGUAUAAGUGUUUAGAAUGUACACUCAUCUAAGGUUAAUGCAAUAAUAAUCUCUCAUCCUCAAUUCUCCUCUUUCACACUCCACAUCCAAAGUAUCUCCACCAUUAUUCACCAAACUUGUGGUGUCCUGUUCCAACAUUUGACAUCAAGAGUCUGGUUCAGAUCCACAAACACUUAGUGUGCAACAUGAAUUAUGUUUCCAAUGAAAAAAUCCCUCCAAACCUACCUAUCCUUGAUGCGAAGAAUUAUGAUAAAUGGUACAAGGAAAUGAAGAUGUUGUUUGGCUACCAAGAUGUUCUUACAGUAACUCUUAAGAGAAAAUAGUUGUCCCUGACCUACUUUGAGUCUCCGUAGGGAAAUUGGACUGGCAAAGAGGGUAGAAGGAGGAAACUACUCAAGUGAGCUUGAAGCAACAAAGGCAGUGAGUUUAGUUCCCACGCGGGGAAGAACGUUUAUAACAAGAGCCAGGAAGAUAAAUUAUUUUAUAAUACCUUCUCAAAAGUAAAAUGAGCUAUGAGAAAGAGCAAGAAUCUCAAGCGAUUGGCUGAACUUAACCUAGCUCGAGCUACAUGGCGGUUGAUCAAGGGAUACCGGAAAGAGGCAAACAACAGAACCUCCGGGUUUGAAGCUUUUCAUGUCGGGGCGAGGUCAAUCAAGGGUUUUGGGUCAGUGAAAGCUCGAGUGCCCCCUUCAAAAGUAAGGUGUCGGGAAUGCAACCAGUGAGGUGACCCGUUCCGUUAGGGCGGAUGAAAGAAGUUAUCCUGAAGCAGCGUCAAAGGCCUCUGUAGGCCCUUCAACAGGAUUUUUUGUCGUGUAGCAUUCUGUUUUGGCUACUCACGAAACUCUUUAUCCUUAAUAGGAAGAACUCCCUUUAGAGGAAGGAUACAAAGACCAAGCCUGUCUUUCUCUCUUAAAAAGGGCAUAUGGGGCAGGGCAGAAAGACUAUUUUAGGGGACUAAUCUGCUAAUGAAUGAAGGAAGGAGAAGGCCUUAAUUGUCUAUCCAAAGGUCCGCCUUGGGUGGAUUUAGGCGAAUCAAGUGGGUGGGAAUGAUCCGAGCCCCCUAUGUAAAUUUCAGUAAGGUAACUAAGGUUUACAAUAAUUCAUUUCAGUAGUGCGUUACCUUGCAGCUCUAUCUAUCGGGUAGUCAGUCUCUUGGUCAAAAGCCGGUACCUAAUUCCCCUGCUGGUGGGCCGAUCCUCGUCUAGCGGUGGGAACCGGCUGGUAUGGAUCAAUUGCUUGCCCUGUCUCUCUUCUGUUCAACCAUCGAGAAUCCGCAGUUAUCUUUGCUCAUUGGGUGGGCGAAGGAAUCCUUUCUAUUGAAUAAGGGCUUUGAGAAGCAGGCCAUUCCGUUCCAGUUAGCACCGUAUCCCGCUUUUCCGAUAGCAAAGGGCCUUCUAAUUAGCGUGCUUUGCUUAACCCGGCAAGAUCCGAGAUCAGACCUAGUCCUGCUGACCCGCUACCCUUGAAAACAUACUUUUUGCCACCUUACGACUGGUGUGAAGGAACUUAUUGCACAUAUUUAACAUGGGGAAGGAAAGAGGAGGGAAUAAAGCAUAUUUUAGGCAUCGANUUAAGAAAUGUCCAUGAAUUAAGGGAUUUGGUUAACGCACUCUUAGGGUUGUUUUUCGACCCUCGUGAAAAAUCAAAACUACCUUUAGAAUUCAGAAAUAAAUCUUUGGACGCACCUCAAACACACAUAAUCUGUUCAUUUUGUAGUCAUGAAUUUAAUUCGGAAAUGCAUCUCCUUAAAUAUUUAUGGAGGUGUAUUUUCAGAACCUACUUAACCACAAAGAAUUUCAUAAACCAAACAGAUGCAGAAACAAAGAUAAAUCACAUUGAUAACAUUGAAAAAUGAAAUAUUACAUAGAUAAUCGUUAACAUAAAUCGAACAUUAUAUUUGAACAUUAAGAUGGACGUUUCAACAUCUUUAUAAUAUCUUUUAUCGAUCUCGCAAUCAUCGCAUCCAACUUGAUCAAAUAUUUUGUUUCGUAACGGUUAAAUGUAUUUCAGAUAACUCUUAAAUCUGCAUUCGUCUUCAGCUUAAAAUUGUUGAAAUGAAUCUUCGAUUCAUUAUCAAUCGAGAGUGAACCGUACUUGAGUUUUGUAAGAACAAAAAUAGUUCUACAAUAGAUUCCAUGAUUUUGAUGAUAACAAAGGAUGAAACCAAAAAUGGCACCCUAACGAAAAGUUUCUAAGUGUGCAGGGUUCUAAAGAAAGAAGAAAUAAAUCUGAUGAUGUCAUCAGAUGCAAAACAAGAUCAGAUGUAAAAUCUCAAGUAUCAGAAGCAUCUAAAGAGGAAUCUCAUUCAAGAAGCUCUGACUCUGGACAAAACUACAAAGUAUCAGAAGCAUCUGAACAUGAAGUAAAGUCUAGAAGCUCUGACUCUGAACAAAUGCCUUCUGUAAAUUCUGAAGUUAUCAGCGCCAUCUGAACUUUCAAGAGAUAACAUCAGAAGCCAGUUUCUCCAGAUACACAAAGACUCUAAUCAGAAUUGUUAAUCAUGAUGAAGUAACGUUUAAGCCAAGUUAAAGUUCUGCAAAUGGAUUUCCUCAAUUAGAAAGAGACGUUAAUCUCCACUUCCAAGAGAGAAGAUACUAAUUGUGGUAAGUAGUCACUUCUAAGAGAAAAAGUCUACUGCAGAAGCUAUUAAUGGAAUGGCGUAACUACAUCUCAAUAUCCAACAGAUUCAACGCUACUUCAACUCUACUUCAACUCCUAUAAAUAGAGAAGAAAUCUCAUUCAGUAAGAAAGAAAUCACUAGCCAAAACUAUACUGAAAUUAUAUCACGCUCAAGAAAAACAUCUUUGUUCUUCAAAGAUUUUCACUAAGCUUUUGCUUAUCAAGUGAAAAAUUUGUUCUUAAGUUUGUAAUAUUUGCUUUCUUAGAAGCACUCUAGAUUACACAUCUUGUAUCUAAUUUUUAUUUGAUUUCCUCAAGUGACUCUUUGUAGUCUGUAGACUUGAGAGGACUAAGAGAUUUUCUUCUCUCUUAGGGGUUGUUUGUAAUCUUUCAAGAUUAGUGGAUUAAGUCCUUGUUGAAGGCGAAAUCACCUUGGCCGGGUGGACUGGAGUAGCUUUGUGUUAUAAGCGAACCAGUAUAAAAUCAUUGUGUGAUUUUCUUUUGCAAAAGCGCUUAUUUUUCAAACAAUUCAAACCCCCCCUUUCUUGUUUUUCUCACCUUCAAUUGGUAUCAGAGCUCCGGCUCUGUUAUUGAUUUUCAAAUCAAACACUUAACCGUGUAGAGAGAUCCAGUGCGAGAAAAACAAAUGGCCCACUCAAAUGAGAAAGAUUCUUACAAUGCCAAGCCUCCUGUUUUUGAUGGAGAAAAGUUUGAUUACUGGAAAGAUAGAAUCGAAAGUUUCUUUCUGGGUUAUGAUGCUGACCUCUGGGACAUUGUCACAGAUGGAUACAAACCUCCAACCUUAAAUGGAGCUGAAGUUCCCAGAAGCAAAAUGUCAGAAGAUCAGAAACGUGAGUUCAAAAAUCAUCACAAGGCCAGAACAAUACUUCUAAAUGCUAUAUCAUACAACGAAUACGAAAAGAUCACCAACAGAGAGACGGCUAAAGAUAUACUUGACUCUCUGAAGAUGACCCAUGAAGGAAACUCCCAAGUCAAGGAGACGAAGGCUCUGGCGUUGAUCCAGAAAUAUGAAGCCUUCAAGAUGGAAGAUGACGAAGCUAUAGAAGCUAUGUUUUCCAGAUUCCAAACUCUUAUUGCAGGUCUUAAAGUGCUAGACAAAGGAUACACGACUGCAGAUCAUGUUAAGAAGAUUGUCAGAAGUCUGCCAAAGAAAUGGAGACCUAUGGUUACUGCUCUGAAGUUAUCAAAGGAUCUGAACAGUAUCAGCCUUGAAGAACUUGUUAGUUCUCUCAGAAGCCAUGAGAUAGAACUAGAGGAGGAUGAGCCUCAGAAAAGGAACAAGUCAGUGGCGCUGAAGUCCAGACCUGAAAGACGGAAGUCAGACAGAACCAAAGCUCUCCAGGCAGAAACUGCAGAUACUGACGACUCUGAACCUGAAGACUCUGAUGAUGAAGAAGAACUGUCCUUACUAACCAGAAGAGUUAAGCAACUCUGGAAAAGAAGGAACAACAACAACUUCAGAAGAUCAAGACCCAGAGGGGAUAGAUCAGAGUCAACUUCAAAAGGUAAACCUAAUAAAGAUAUUACCUGUUUUGAAUGUAAAGAAACAGGUCAUUAUAGAAAUGAAUGCCCCAAGCUGAAGAAAGAUAACUCUAAGAAAGAAAGCUUCAAGAAAAAUGCCUUCAGAACAAAGAAGGGAUUAAUGGCCACCUGGGACGAUAGUGAAUCAGGAUCAUCAGAAUCUGACUCUGAUGAACAAGCCAACGUAGCAUUUAUGGCUACCACAUCCAGCAGCUCAGAUGAAGAAUCUGAAGAGGUAUUUUCUGAACUUUCUAGAUCUGACUUAGAAUCAUGUUUAUCAGAAACUCUUACCUCUCUUCAGAAAUUAAAACAAAAAGUUAAAAGCAUUAAAGGCCUUCUUAAAGCAAAAUCUGAAGAAUGUAGUGAACUUGAGACAACAAUUCUAGCACAUGAAGAUACAAUCAAAUCUUUAACGUUAGAAAGAGAUGGAGCUAAAACAAAAAGCUUAAAAUUAGAAGAAGCGUUGUCUCAAGCACCACAAACUUCAAAUGAAAUUAUUUAUAAAUAUGAAGAAGCCUUUCAGAAGUUUCUGAAGAGUGGAAUAGAUAGGAGUAUUAUGGCAUCCAUGAUUUAUGGAGUAAGUCAGAAUAAUAAAAGGGGAAUUGGGUAUGAUUCUGAUUCUGAUAAAACUUCUACCAGUAACCAAAUUAAAUCACCUUUUUCAUACCACUAUACACACACACAAGAACACAAAUUUAAAAAUGCUAGAAGACCCAAAGUUGUAAGAAACUCUGGGAAAACUAAUCUGAAAGGACCCAAGAGAUUCUGGGUACCGAAAGAUAAGAUUAUCUAUGUUGCAGAUAUCCUAUGCAGCAAAGUUCAGACACCAGUCAUGGUACCUGGACUCUGGAUGCUCGCGACAUAUGACGGGAAGAAAGUCUAUGUUCCAAAGCCUGGAACUUAAAGACGCUGGCUUUGUAGGCUUCGGAGGAGAUCAGAAAGGAAGGAUCAGAGGCUCCGGAACUAUUGGUAAUGGUACUCUUCCCUCUAUAUCUGAUGUUCUUUAUGUAGAAGGAUUAAUGCAUAACUUGUUAUCCAUAAGUCAAUUAAGUGAUAACGGUUAUGAUGUAAUCUUUAAUCAAAAAACGUGUAAAGCCAUUAAUCAGAACGAUGGCUCUGUCCUUUUCACAGGCAAGAGGAAAAACAACAUUUAUAAAAUAAAUCUUUCUGAUUUAAAAGAUCAAAAUGUUAAAUGUUUAAUGUCAGUUCACGAAGAGCAAUGGGUAUGGCAUAGACGCUUAGGCCACAUUAGCAUGAGAAAACUUUCUCAGCUAACUAAACUUGAGUUAGUCAGAGGCUUACCUAAACUGAAGUUUUCUUCAGAUGCUCUGUGUGAAGCUUGUCAGAAAGGAAAGUUUUCAAAAACAUCUUUUAAAAAGAAAAAUGUUGUUUCUACCUCCAAGCCUCUGGAGCUUCUUCACAUUGACUUAUUUGGUCCUGUGAAAACAGCAUCAGUCAAUGGAAAGAAGUAUGGACUAGUAAUCGUUGAUGAUUACAGCCGCUGGACAUGGGUAAAAUUCCUAAAGCACAAGAGUGAGUCUCACUCUGUAUUCACCAGUUUCUGUUCUAAAGUGCAAAAAGAAUUUGACUCUAAAAUUGUUAGAGUCAGAAGUGAUCAUGGUGGAGAAUUUGAAAAUAAAGAUUUUGAAGAAUUAUUUGAUUCUAAUGGAAUAUCCCAUGAUUUCUCCUGCCCUAGAACUCCACAACAAAAUGGAGUUGUAGAGAGGAAGAAUAGGACACUCCAAGAAAUGGCCAGAACCAUGAUCAAUGAAACAAAUGUAGCAAAGCACUUUUGGGCAGAAGCUGUAAAUACAGCGUGUUACAUUCAGAAUAGAAUCUCUAUUAGACCUAUUCUGGAUAAGACUCCCUAUGAACUGUGUAAGGGAAGAAAACCCAACAUUUCAUAUUUUCAUCCUUUUGGAUGCAUUUGCUUUAUAUUAAAUACUAAAGAACAUCUGAACAAGUUUGAUUCCAAAGCACAGAAAGGUAUUAUGUUAGGAUACUCAGAACGCUCUAAAGGCUACAGAGUAUACAACACAGAAACCAAAAUUGUGGAGGAAUCAAUUCAUGUUAGAUUUGAUGAUAAGCUUGACCCUGAAAAGUCAAAGCUAGUUGAAAAGUUUGCAGAUUUAGAGAUCACUCUGGUAGAAUCUGAGAAAACUCCAGAAGCAACUGUCACUCCAGACUCUGAAGAAAUUAAAUCUCCAGAAAUUCCAAGGAAAGUCAAGAGUCGUAGCAACGUAUCUGAAGAUUUGAUUUUGGGAAACAAAGAUGAACCUGUUAGAACCAGAUCUACCUUCAGAACUUCUGAAGAUAUUCCUCUGGGACUAGUGUCUCUGAUUGAGCCUACGUCCUGUGAUGAAGCUCUUCAAGAUAACGAUUGGGUGGCAGCUAUGCAAGAAGAGUUAGAUCAAUUCUCCAAGAAUGAUGUCUGGGAUCUCGUUCCUAAACCCAGAGGCACUCAUGUCAUUGGAACCAGAUGGGUUUUCAGAAACAAACUGAACGAGAAAGGAGAAGUUGUCAGAAACAAAGCACGACUGGUAGCUCAAGGUUAUAGUCAACAAGAAGGUAUUGAUUAUAAUGAAACUUUUGCUCCAGUCGCAAGGUUAGAAUCUAUUCGUCUUCUUGUAUCUUUUGCUAUUAAUCACUCUAUCAAAUUAUACCAAAUGGAUGUCAAGAGUGCAUUUCUUAAUGGUUAUAUUUCAGAAGAAGUGUAUGUCAAUCAACCUCCAGGUUUUGAAAAUUCAAACUUUCCAGAACAUGUUUUCAAACUUAAGAAAUCCUUAUAUGGACUUAAACAAGCUCCCAGAGCUUGGUAUGAACGCUUAAGUAAUUUUCUUCUGGAACAAAAUUUUAUCAGAGGGAAAGUUGAUUCUACACUCUUCUGUAAAAAUCAUAAAAAUGAUCUCAUGAUAUGCCAAAUUUAUGUUGAUGACAUUAUUUUUGGUUCUGCUAAUAUCUCUGUUUGCCAAGAAUUUUCUAAGUUAAUGCAGGCAGAAUUUGAAAUGAGUCUAAUGCAAGAACUAAAGUUCUUUCUGGGAAUUCAAAUUAAUCAAACUCCAGAAGUCACGUACAUUCAUCAAAGCAAGUACAUUAAAGACGUUCUGAAGAAGUUUGAUAUGUCUGAAUGCAACUCUGCAAAGACUCCUAUGCACCCAACUUGCAUUCUGGAAAAGGAAGAGGUAAGCAACAAGGUUUGUCAGAAGCUCUAUCGAGGUAUGAUAGGCUCUCUUCUCUAUCUGACUGCUACUCGUCCUGAUAUUCUCUUUAGCGUCUGUCUUUGUGCCAGAUUCCAAUCAGAUCCUAGAGAAUCUCAUUUAACAGCUGUUAAGAGAAUUCUUAAGUAUCUGAAAGGAACUCCUAACCUGGGCCUGAUGUAUGAGAAAACAUCAGAGUAUAGGCUUUCUGGUUAUUGUGAUGCAGAUUAUGCAGGAGAUAGAAUAGAACGAAAAAGCACAUCUGGAAAUUGCCAGCUUCUGGGAAACAAUCUAAUCUCCUGGGCUAGCAAAAGACAGUCAACUAUCGCUCUAUCAACUGCAGAAGCAGAAUAUAUCUCAGCAUCACUGUGCACAACUCAGAUGCUCUGGAUGAAACAUCAGCUAGAAGAUCUUCAAAUCUUUGAGAGUAACAUUCCUAUCCUUUGUGAUAAUACUGCUGCUAUUUGUUUGAGUAAGAAUCCUAUUUUACAUUCCAGAGCCAAACACAUAGAAAUUAAACAUCAUUUUAUUAGAGACUAUGUUCAGAAAGGAAUAGUAACGCUGAAGUUCAUUGAUACAGAACAUCAAUGGGCAGAUAUCUUUACUAAGCCUCUAGCUGAAGAUAGAUUUCUUUUCAUCUUAGAAAAUCUGAACAUUAAAAAUUGUCCUGAGUAAAAUUUGGCUCUGAACAUGUAAAAUGAGACUCUGAUAAAAACAAAUACACUUCUGCCUCUGACUCUGAUACUUCUACCAAGUUAAGAAGAUAUCUGAGUUAGAAAUCUUCAGAAAUCCUUUGGUAUUCCUGAAGAUCAGAUACAUCAACACGUGGGGAACAUGCGUCUAACCCUAGAACUUCUAGACAGCUGUCAAAAGAAAUCAAAGGUCAGAACGCUUGAAAUCUCCUCGAGCAGUGUGCUUACUGUUGGGAUUAGACAUUCAUUAAUUAGCUAUAAUCAUUUUUCCCCCAAACGUGCUAUUUUGGUUUUUGUGCUAACGCUGGUAUGUGUGUCGUUUUGCAUGUGUUUUUACCCUUAGUAUAUAAACACUUUCUCUCACUUUUCACACUUAUCACUCUCACUCACUCUAAAACCCUAAACCCUUCUCUGAAAGUUCUCUGCAAGUUCUUCAUCUUCUUCAAUCUCCAUCAUCUUCAUCAACAUGGACGCUCAACAACAAGAACUCUUCAACCAUUCUCAACAAGUGGAAUCUAGUUCCAAUCCCCAAACCUCAAACACUCAAACACCCACGGUUAUAAGCGUCACCACAACCCCAGUUUACAAAGAACCUCACAUUCUUGACCGUGAACAACACAUUCAUCUUUCAACUCCCUUUGAAGGUUUGGAUGUACUGUGUGAAUCGCUGGUGGAUUUUGAGAAUUUGAGAAGAAAUGGCGUUGAUUUAACUGAAGAUCUUCGCAAGCAAGGUUGGGAAACCUACUUCAACAGAUUGUAUGGUCCAAUCUAUCCUCUUCUGGUGAAAGAAUUCUGGAGAUGUGCAGAUGCUGAUGAUGAGUUCAUUGUUUCUUUUGUUCUGGGAGUGAAGAUCAUCAUCACAGAAGCAUCUAUUGCCUCUUUGCUGAACAUGGAGAGAACUGGAGGUAAAAGGAUUUACAACAUUCCUCCAAGGUCCAAGCGCAUCACAGAAGUCAUUAACCCUACAAUCUUCAAAGCAAAUGUUGAAGGAAACCCAUCUAAGAACAAGGAGCUUCAUCAGAACCUCCGAGUUUGGCUGAAGAUUAUUCUGGGAACAAUCCAUCAUCGUCCAGCCUCCAACUCUUCAGAUUAUAUAAAUGCUGAUCAGAAAUGCAUCCUCUACUGUAUUCAGAAGGGUAUUCCAAUCAACCUCCCUGUUCUCCUCUUCAGAUAUCUGAGGGAUUCAGUCAGAGAAACAAGGAAUAAUAUGAAGCCCAGAUCCUACAUUCCUCUGGGAAGAUUGCUCUCUGACAUCUUCAUUGAGCAUGGGCUGGUAGAUGCUCUGGAGAAGACCAGAUGUAUGGAUGAUCUGGCAAUUGACGUUGGAAAGCCUCUGAAUGCCAAAAAUCUGAGGAGUAUGGGAAUCAUCAAAGACAUCAGAGUCAAGCCCACUAUGAAUGUAACCUGGGAAGCUCUGAAGGAUCAGAGGAAGAUGCCUCAUGGCCUUGAAAGGUUCUUCAAGAAUGAACCCAGAGAUGCCAUUGCUAUCUACCUUCAGGAUCGUCUGGAUGAAGGCAUUGAUAUCUCUGAUUUCCGCCUUGAAGACUGUCUGGACUCUGUAGAAGAUCUGGUCAGAUACAAAAGAGGUCUUUCUGAGAAGAAGAUAGCUGAGGAAGCAAGGAAGGCAAAGAAAGCCAGACUUGGAGAAACCUCUGGCACCAAAGCUUCAGCACCUCUGAAUGUCUCCUCUGGUAAGUCCAUUCCUCCUGUCUCUUCUGAAUCUGUAAUGGCUUCCUCUAACCCUCUCUCCUCUCAACCAAUAUAUACCACCGCUGAAAUACCACCUUCAACCAUCAGAACCUCUCAACCUCCACCUGUUCUAAAAAUUGCUCGUAAUUUCACAACAACCUCUGACCCUAAUCAACUAUAUCACCACAGCUCUUCCUCAUCCUCUGAAUAUGAAUCACCCCCUUACCUUUCCCCUUCUUCUGACCAAGAGUUCUCUGAACAAGAGUCCUCUGACCAAGAACACUCUGACCCAAACUCCCCAACAAUAGCUGAAAUUUAUGCUAAAAAUUUCGCUCCACAACCCUCAAGACAAUCUGAAGUAACCUCUCCCCUCCAAACUUCACUUCCACCACAACAAACAACAACCUUACCCUCUGAAACUCAACCAUCUGAUCCCUUCACCUCUAAUAUCACUCCACCAUUUAUUCCCGCUGUACCUGGACCAGACUCUGACCCUUUAGACCUAAAUCCACUAUAUGCUUCAUCCCCUAGUCUUCAACCAGACGCAGAUUCUGAACUUCAAGCAGAAUCUGAACCUCAACAAACUGAACCUCAACCUCUAAAUCUCAGCCCUCAAAACUCUCCACCUCAUUCACCUGAACCUGAACCUGAACUUACCAUACCUACCCUUGAGGAGGCCAUUAUACAGGUUGCAGAAGCUUCAGUCCAGAAGAUCAAGUCUCUGGCUAAAAACUCUGAAGUUAGUGAUGAUCCUAAAUCUGUUAGGACACACUGGAACAGAGUCAUUAGUUGGAUGACCUCUGAGUCUUAUAGGCUGAAGAGUAUCUCUGAACAAGUCAGAAAUGGCUACAUCAGAGACUCUGAGGAAAGACUCCAAGAGAGACUGGCUAGAGAAGCUGAGGCCAGAAGGUUAGAGGAAGAGAGACUGGCUAGAGAAGCUGAGGCCAAGAGAUUAGAGGAAGAAAGAUUGGCUAGGGAAGCUGAAGAAGAAGCUAAGAGGUUGGAAGAAGAACGCCUGGCAAAGGAAGCAGAACUUCUAAGGAUUCAGGAAGCUGAAGCCAAGGCUAAGGCAGAUGCAGAAGCCCAAGCUGCUGCUGAAGCUGAAGCUCAGCAGGCUCUGAUUCAGGGGGAGUCUUCCUCUGCGAUCCCUCUGAUUCUUAACACUCUGAAGGAGAUCAAGCAAGAUCAGAAAGAGAUCAAGCAAGAUCAGAGUGAGCUCCGGGCAAGGAUGGACAAGCAAGACGCUCUGAAUGAAAACCUCCAGAAUAUGUUUGCUAUGCUACUACAGAGACUUCCUCCUCCUCCAAACCCUUAGGCACUUAGGAUUUCUUUUGUUUGCCUAGUGUUUUUGCUUCUGUCUUUUCUUUUUUUUCUCUGAUAUUUCUGUUGAAUCUGAUGUUUUGACUGCUGCUUGCCUUUGUGCUUUUGUUUAAUGAAGUGUUUUUCUCUCUAUUAUUUUUUUUAUGUUUUAUGCCUUUUUGAUUAUGCCAAAAAGGGGGAGAAAUUAUUAAAUAGCUCUGAUGAAAAUUAUGUCUAAAACCUUAAGCAUUCUGCAACAAUUAUAGAAAUAGUUCUGAUAUAAAUAGCUCUGAUUAAAUAAUAGCUCUGAUUAAAUAACUCUAACAUUAAAAUUAAGAAAUUGCAGAAAGUUUUCAGAAAUCUCAUUGCUUGGAAAGCUCUGGUAAGAACUUCUGAACUCCCUAGUACUAACUCAGGGGGAGCUUUUGUCUAUCUGAUCUAAUAUUUUUCAUGUUUCAUCUGAUAAUUUUAUUUGUUUUGUCAUCAUCAAAAAGGGGGAGAUUGUAAGAACAAAAAUUGUUCUACAACAGAUUCCAUGAUUUUGAUGAUAACAAAGGAUGAAACCAAAAAUGGCACCCUAACGAAAAGUUUCUAAGUGUGCAGGGUUCUAAAGAAAGAAGAAAUAAAUCUGAUGAUGUCAUCAGAUGCAAAACAAGAUCAGAUGCAAAAUCUCAAGUAUCAGAAGCAUCUAAAGAGGAAUCUCGUUUCAAGAAGCUCUGACUCUGGACAAAACUACAAAGUAUCAGAAGCAUCUGAACAUGAAGUAAAGUCUAGAAGCUCUGACUCUGAACAAAUGCCUUCUGUAAAUUCUGAAGUUAUCAGCGCCAUCUGAACUUUCAAGAGAUAACAUCAGAAGCCAGUUUCUCCAGAUACACAAAGACUCUAAUCAGAAUUGUUAAUCAUGAUGAAGUAACGUUUAAGCCAAGUUAAAGUUCUGCAAAUGGAUUUCCUCAAUUAGAAAGAGACGUUAAUCUCCACUUCCAAGAGAGAAGAUACUAAUUGUGGUAAGUAGUCACUUCUAAGAGAAAAAGUCUACUGCAGAAGCUAUUAAUGGAAUGGCGUAACUACAUCUCAAUAUCCAACAGAUUCAACGCUACUUCAACUCUACUUCAACUCCUAUAAAUAGAGAAGAAAUCUCAUUCAGUAAACACGAAGAAAUCACUAGCCAAAACUAUACUGAAAUCAUAUCACGCUCAAGAAAAACAUCUUUGUUCUUCAAAGAUUUUCACUAAGCUUUUGCUUAUCAAGUGAAAAAUUUGUUCUUAAGUUUGUAAUAUUUGCUUUCUUAGAAGCACUCUAGAUUACACAUCUUGUAUCUAAUUUUUAUUUGAUUUCCUCAAGUGACUCUUUGUAGUCUGUAGACUUGAGAGGACUAAGAGAUUUUCUUCUCUCUUAGGGGUUGUUUGUAAUCUUUCAAGAUUAGUGGAUUAAGUCCUUGUUGAAGGCGAAAUCACCUUGGCCGGGUGGACUGGAGUAGCUUUGUGUUAUAAGCGAACCAGUAUAAAAUCUUUGUGUGAUUUCAUUUUGCAAAAGCGCUUAUUUUUCAAACAAUUCAAACCCCCCUUUCUUGUUUUUCUCACCUUCAAGUUUCACAAUUCUUUGAUGAACUAAAAUGCAAUUGAGGACUCCGCGUCUUUGAGUCAUAAAUCAUGGAGACUCAUAAUGCGUCCAAAAAUGCAUAUCCAAAAUUUAAGUGGCAUUUUCAAAUUUUUAUAGGAUGGUUUUCCAACACUUAUGUAGAGAUAAACAAUUUCGUAAUUAAAGGUCUCUAAGAGGAGUUGAAAUAAAUAUAUUUAAAAAAUUAGUAACAUAAUUAUUUAAGGAAUAAAGUUUUCUAACCAAAAGAAUUUUUCCCUAAUUUUUUUGUGCCUAAUUUAUUUUGCUAACAAAGUAAAGCCCUGAUUAUUGUUACUAAAUUUUAGUAAUUUUCAUUCAUCUCUCAAUUAAUAUCUCUUAUAAUCCUCAUUAACUCUCAAUUAAUGUAAUUCAUAUCUAUCAAAAAAAAUUGAAAAUUUUGUAUCUAGGCUUGGGACCAACUAGUUUAGUGAAUUGCUAAUUUCAUCUUAAGUGUUGGAAAUAUGCCCUAUAAAAUUUUGAAAAUACCCUUUUGAAUCCGAAAAUGCAUCUUCGAACGCACCUUACGCCUCACUAAAACACACCUCAACUUGUUGAUGUUUUUUAUGUAAUUCAAGUGAUGUAACCAGUUAUCUCGGGUAGGUAACCGGUUACAUAAAUGUCUAAAGUUCAAUCAAGUAGCAAAAAUGUGGAGUUUUUGAAGGUGUAACCGGUUAACCAUUUUGGUGUAAACGGUUACCACAAAAGCUGAUUUAAUUCAAUGUCAGGUGUAACCGAUUAUCCAUUUUUGUGUAACAUUACAAGCGUAAUAUUUUGAUUUUUCCUGCUAUUUUACUUGGUCAAUUCAGUUCCCAAUUGUGUUGUAUCUCUUGUAUAAGUGUUUAGAAUGCACACUCAUCUAAGGUUAAUGCAAUAAUAAUCUCUCCCCCUUAAUUCUCCUCUUUCACACUCCACAUCCAAAGUAUCUCCAUCAUUGUUCACCAAACUUGUGGUCUCUUGUUCCAAAAUUUGACAUCAAGAGUCUGGUUCAGAUCCACAAACACCUAGUGUGCAACAUGAAUUAUGUUUCCAAUGAAAGAAUUCCUGCAAACCUACCUAUCUUUGAUGCGAAGAAUUAGGAUAAACGGUGCAAGGAAAUGAAGAUGUUGUUUGGAUACCAAGAUGUUCUUAAAGUAAUCAAUAAGGAUGUUACUCCUCUUAUUCAAAAUGAAACAGAGGCGCAACAAGCAACACAUAAGGAAGAGAAGAAGAAAUAGUUCAAUGUGUUGAUGGCGAUGAUUUUAAGAAAGUUGAUGAUUGUGAAUCGUCAAAGUAAGCGUGAGAGAUCUUAGAGAAGGCAUGUGCAUGGGUUGACAAGGAAAAGGUGGUGAGGUUACAAACUCAUAAACGUCAGUUUGAAUUGAUUCAAAUGGAGGAAAAGGAGAUAAUCAAUGAUUUUGCAAUGAGAAUCACUCGGUUGGUGAAUCAAGUGAAGGCAUGCAAAGAAACUGUUACGGAGUUGUAUGUUGCUGCUAAAAUCUUGUGUUCUUUAACACCAAGAUUUAACAGUAUAGUUGUGGCAAUUGAUGAGUCAAAGGAUCCCGCGACGAUGAGCAAAGAGGAGUUGCAAAGUUCUCUUGAGGCUCAUGAGAAAAAGAUGGAAAAGAGGAAUAACGAUAAGGCAAAGGCGGAGAUUGCUUUGCAAGCUCGUUUCAAUGAGAAGGACAAGAGAUCGAAAGGAAAAUGGCCCAAGAAAAGAAAAGGGAAUUUUCAUAAUUUGGGUGGAAGAGAGUCCUAAAAUUCAAAUGAUUUGACUUGUCAAAGGGGUGAGAGCAGCUACAAUAAACAUGGUGGUCAAGGAAACUUUAGAGGUAGAAGGAAGAAGUUUGAUAAGAGCAAGGAGAUGUGCUAUAAGUGUCAAUGGUUCGUUCAUUUUGCAAAAAAAUACAAUGUGAACAAGAAAGAAUCUCAAGGGAUUAAACCAAGGUUGCAAGAUAAGAGUUUGAUGAAGAGAAUAUAAUUUUGGUCAUGAUCAAAGAAGGGAAUUAUAGCAGCAAACAACUGUGGGACAACAGCGGCAAUAAAUCAAAGAAUGCUAAAAAGGUCGGUUGAAUGAUACGAUUAACCGAUCGCAUGAAGAGGAAGAUACCAUGAUGAGUUUGAAAGGAGUUCAAUGUAGUGAUGAGUGGUAUUUGGACUUGGGUUGUUCAGCUCAUAUGACAGGAAUAAAGGAUUGGUGUGUCAAAAUCAAUCGUGCCAUGAAGAAUAAACUAAAGUUUGCAGAUGAAACCACCCUAAUGAUCGAUGGGAUCGAUGAUGUUUUGAUCAUGAGAAGGGAUAAUGGACAUUACUUAAUCACAAAUUCUUGUACAUUUUUGGAAUCAAAUUUAACCUUCUAAGUAUUGGCCAAUUGCUUGAGAAGGAUUCCAAGAUUCACAUGGAAGACAAUGGGUUGUGCGUUAUGGAUAUAAGAGGAGGCUUGGUCCUUAAAGCGCAUAUGGCUGCCAAUAGAACCUUUAAGGUUGAGUUGAAGGUUAUAGAGUAUAAAUGUCUUGCUACUACAUCAAGUAGACAACAGUGGAUAUGGCACUAUCGUCUUAGACAUCUCAAUUUUAGAGAUCUCAAAGACUUUCAAAAGAACAUAAUGGUAACAGGGCUGCCAUUGAUCAACAUACUAGCUGAAAUUUGUGAAGAAUGUGUGCAAGUGAAGCAACAUAAGGGAAAAUUGAGCAAGUAGACUCUAUUGGUGGAAAUAUGUAUUUUGUCACAUUUAUCGAUGAUCAUAGUACAAAACUAUGGACAUACCUAAUCAAGAUAGAUGACAAUGUAUUUCAUGAUCGUCCGUCAUUGCAUAUAUUUAGUCGAAGAAUCAGACAAAACAAGUGAAAGUUAAGAUAAAAUGAAGAAGAAUAAGGAAAAAAUAUCUAAGCAUGGAAACUGGGGACUUAUUGAAAUUUUGAGUAAAAAAGGGAGCAAAAGUGUGCAACCACUGGAAUAAUCAUGCGCACCAUCACGUAGCAUCGUGCACACAAUGGGGUCUUUAAAGUUGCAUCGCGCAUGCGAUACAAGGAAUCACGCGCGUGAUAAAUACUUUUUAUGGGCUUUUCAGACGCGUUCUGGUCCAUUCUAACGCCUUUAAAAGGGGAUUUUCUGAACUUUCACAAGAGUUACAAAAUUGGGAGAUCUAGGCACUACUUUGAGAGCACAAGUGGUGAUUUUUAUAACAUUAGAAGUUAUUGGAGACCAUUACUUCAACGUAUUUCACAUGUUAUUUUCAUCUAUCAAUUAUGAUAUUUUUAAUUGCAUUAUGAGUAGCUAAGCUCCUCUAGAUUAGGUUGUAUACUGAUGAACCUAUUUCUAUAUUGUUGGAAUCUAUGUUGAUUUAACAAUUGUGUGAACCUUUUGAACUAUAAUUCCAUUCAAUUGCUUCUUGUUCAUAAUGCUUUUUAUGUGAGAUGAUAUUUUAAUAUGAUUUUGGGAACAUAAGGAAUACUGACCAUUAGUCUAUGUGUUGGACCUAGGGAAAUUGUUGUACUUACGCUGGUUGAAUAGGAAUAGGAGACCCUGAGUAGUGGCGUAGAGAAUUAACGCUUUAUACAUCGCCUAACCCUGCUUACGCUGGAGGACUAAGGAUAAAAAGCUCUGAGUGGUGGUUAGUGAGUUAUUUCAUGAGGGAUCAACUAUAACAGUUUUGUUAAUUCGUCGUGGUGUUAUAGUGAUAAGACCAUUCGUACAAGACAUCAAACAUCAACAAUAGAGGAAUAUGAGAUUUUAAAACACAACUUGGCCGCUUUCGUGAUAUUGUUUAAUUGUUUAUUUACUUUUUGCACAGAAACUCAACCCCCCCCCCCCCNNNNNNNNNNNNNNNNNCCCCCCCCCCCCUUUACUAGUUUUUUAUAAAUUGCACACAUUUUGUCUUGCUUGAACGAAGUUCACGUGGAUUCGAUCUUUUUAUUACUUCGACGAUGUCAAUACACUUGUCGAGAAGUCAUCAAGUUUUUGGCGCUUUUGCCAGGGACUAUUAAUUUUUCAUCAAGGCGAUGUUUGUGCAAUUUUUUUUAGUCUUUAAAUUUUAUGUUUUAUUUUCUUGUUUCUCAAAAUGCUAUUGAGGUAUUUUCUAUUUGUGUAUGUACCGUUCAGGAUCAACAUUAAUACCAUUGGAUCCAAAAAUUGAAAGAAACGCACAUGCUCUCAGAAAAGCUGUUAGAGGAGCAACUCUGGAAAGAGGAAUACUAGAAGAAGAGUAAUUAUCAAGUUAGUCAUACUCUGAAGAUGAAGCUGUAAUGGCAGAUGCACAACCCCUAACUAUGGGGGAUUAUUAUAAAUGAACCGAUGAAGGACACUUCUCCAGAGGGUUUGUACCGGUAGACCCUUCUAACUUUGAUAUUAAAAAUUAUGUGCUUUAAGGUUUGAGAGAAAAUUUGUUCGGCAGGAACACGAUUAGAGACCUAUGGGUGCAUCUUACACACUUCUAUGAAACAACUUCAAUGUGAAAAUCAAUUGAUGCCACUGAAGACCAGGUUAAAUUGAGGUUGUUUGGGUUCUCACUAAUUGGAAGGGCGAAGAUUGGUUACUUUUCCUCCCGAAUGGAACGAUACGAACAUGAAAGGAAUUAGAGGAUAAAUCCCUGGAAAGAUUUUUCACUACUACUCAGUUUACCGAGCGCUAAGCAGAAAUUGUGAGGUUUGAGCAGUAGGAAAUUGAGUCACUUUAUGACUCUUGGGAAAGAUUCAAACUUUUGUUACGCAGAUGCUCGAAUCACAACAUGAAUAAUAUAGAGCAGAUGCAAAACUUCAUUAAAGGUCUCAAAGUCAAACUCACGUAUUUUUGGAUGCUUCUACGAGAGGUACUAUCUGAAAAAUGAAUGAACCAUGGGUAAAAGAUAUCAUUGAGAAAAUGUGUAUAAUUGAGUACCGAUCCAAGAACGAAAGGUCGAUCAAGAUGGGAACUGUGGGCACGCCUAAAGGUAUGUUACCUAUUGAUACCCACAUUGCUCUUUUAGCUCAGAUUGAAUUAUUAAAUAAAAAGCAAGCUGGAAGAAGCUUAGUUAAAGCUAACGUAAGUCAGGUACAAGCACUUAAAAGCGAUUUAUAUGGAGGAUAACAUGCGAAUGGAAGUUGUUCAUUGGAAGGGACAAGUGAGGAGGUAAAAUUUUAUAAUUUUUAAAAAAAAUAACUUGUAUUCAAACACAUAUAAUCCGGGUUAAAAAGACCACCCAAAAUUCCUUUGGAAUAAUAAUCAAAAUUCAAAUGCUAACUAAGGGAUGCAACAAAGCCAACAAGCUCUGUUUCAAAGAAAUCCAUCACAAAUGGUAGAGACCUUGAAAAUUUUCAUUAAGGUCACUCAAAGUAGCUUUGCUAGGGUAAAUAAGACCCUUGAAGAAAUGAGUAGAAACUAGGAUGCGUCUAUCAAAAUUUUGGAGAUGAAGAUUGGUCAAUUAUCCAGACAAGUAGCUACUUUUCCAAGCUCAAGUGGAGGAUUCACCAGUAACAUUGUUGAUAACCCUAAGAAUGAUAACCCUAAAUAUAGGUUUAGGGGAAAUUACUGAAAAGGAUAAGGAGGAGAUAGUUAAAGAACGUGUGGUUAAGAUAGAUGAGGGUACAAAUCAAGGUGACCAAGAGGAAAGAGGAGACAUCAUUGAUCAACUUAUUGACAAAAAUUCUCCUCGGGGGAGAACAAAGAAGCAGAUCAUGACUGAACCAAAUCCUCCUUUACCAGAUCACGUAAAACCACCGUACCCAAUAAUUAAAAAGAAAGUGGUUUAAGAUGAUGAAGCGAGAAUGUUUGCAAAGUUCAAGGAAAUUCUAGCUACUCUCCGGGAAAGUAUUUCGUUCCAUGAAAUUUUAGAACUAAUGCCUAAGUUUGCUAAAUUUAUGAAGGCGUUACUAAAUGGGACGGAAGAGAAAAGGAUCAAGGAACAUGUAAACAUGACCGAAAAGAAUGAUAUGGUAAAACCUCAAUCCUUACAACCUAAACUAAAAGACUCAAGUAAAUUUAUGAAGGAGUUAUUAAAUGGGACGAAAGAGAAAAGGAUCAAGGAACAUGUAAACAUGACCGAAAAUGAUGAUAUAGUAAAACCUCAAUCCCUACAACCUAAACUAAAAGAAUUAGGUAAGUUUACUAUUUCCUAUAAUAUUAGUGGAUUCAAUAUUCUGCAUGCUCUAUGUGAUAUGGGAUCUAACAUAAAUGUCAUGCCACCGAAAACUGUCAAAGAAUUAAAAGUGGGUGAGAUCACACCGAGUAACAUGACUCUCAGUCUAGUUGAAUUGUCUAUUACUCAUUCAAUUGGUACUUUACGCGACAUAUUAGUACCUAUCGACGACUUAUUGUUUCCUAUAGAUUUUAUAGUGCAUGAUACAAAAGAAGAUUCGGGAGGAUCUAUUAUUCUUGGACAUCCAUUCUUGGCAAUCGGGAAAGCAAAAGAUUGAUGUGUAAACUGGUCAACUUAUCUUGAAGUCAAAUAAAAGGAAUGUGGUUUUCAAGGUAUAUGACUGGACACCUUAUGUGGAUAAUUUGGAUACUUUCUACUAUCUGGAUGAAAAAGGUAGGAAAGUAGAUAAAGGAACAAUGAGAAAGAAAGUGACAGGCGUGAGGGUGUCCCUUGCGCCUGACGUACCUUAGACAUGGAUUAUCAAGCUAGUGAUGUUAAAAAAGUGUUUGAUGGGAGGCAACUCAUCAAUAAGAAUUUAUUUUUUUAUCAUAGUGAAUAUUAAUUUUUCUAACCUUGUUAAUUUUUGUGCUAUGUUAUUGGAAGAGAAAAUAGGUGAAAGAAGAAAAGAAAGAAAAAGCAAAAGGGAAGAAAAUAGAAAAAGAAAAGAGAGAGGAAAGUUUCAUCCCCCAGAAUCAUCACGUAUGAUAAUAUAAACUAGUUCUUUACAAUAAUAAAAUUUGAUAUUUAUUUAUACAAACACAAUUAUAUAAAGAGAAUAACACACAAAUCACACAUGAUAAUUUUAGAAUAAUUAUACUCUAAUAUUUUUUGAGUCGUGAUAUAUCCUCUUCUUAAAUAUUUGAAAGUUGAAUCUCUCUCACUAAUCUCUAUUCCCCUAUUUAUUUUAAGAAUAAACAUAUUGAAUUAAUAAAACAUAAUUGCACCUUUCUUAAAGGUUAUACAAACAACUACUAAAGUUGAAAAAACUAAAGAGAGGUCAACUCAAUCUUUAUCAAAUUAAAUUAAAGUUUAUUAUAAAACACAAACAACUAGUUCAUUCAAAUGAUAACUUGUUUAGUACACAAGUAAGAUCUUACUUAAUACAUAGAAAUAAGAUCUUACAGAAUAUAGAGAUUAAAAACAUAGGAAUAACAUGAAAAGCUUUUAAAAUGACAUAGACAUUGAUUAACAAAGAUAUGAACUAGUUUCGGGUAUUUCUUAACCAUCCGUCAAGGUAAACUUGUUUGGAGUCAGGGGUGGAUUUUGCUUUCUCGACUCGGAUAUCUUUCAACCAUCCAUCAAGGUAAACCUGGUUGUUGUCAGAGGUGGAUUUUACUGUCUCGGCUCGGAUAUCUUUCAACCAUCCAUCAAGGUAAACUUGUUUUGGAUCAGAGGUGGAUUUUGUUUUCUCUGCUCGGGUAUCUUUCAACCACCCAUCAAGGUAUACUUGGUUGGAGUCAGGGGUAGAUUUUAUUCUCUCGUUUCGAUAAUCUUUCAACCAUCCAUCAAGGUAAACUUGGUUGGAGUCAGACAUGGUUUCUGUUUGCUUUGCUCGAGUAUUUUUCAACCAUCCAUCAAGGUAAACUUGGUUGGAGUCAGAGGUAGAUUUUUCUUUCUCAGCUCGGGUAUCUUUUAACCAUCCAUCAAGGUAAACUUGUUUGGAGUCAAGAUUUUUCUUUCUCAGCUCGGGUAUCUUUUAACCAUCCAUCAAGGUAAACUUGUUUGGAGUCAGAGGUGGAUUUUGUUUUCUCUGCUCGGGUAUCUUUCAACCAUCCAUCAAGGUAAACUUGAUUGGUGUUAGGCAUGGACUUUUCUUUCUCAACUCUGAUAUUUUUCAACCAUCCAUCAAGAUAAACUUGGUUGGAGUCACUUGUAGAUUUUGUUUUCUCAACUCGGGUAUCUUUCAACCAUUCAUCAAGGUAAACUUGGUUGGAUUCAGAGGUGGAUUUUGCAUUCUCUGCUCUGGUAUCUUUCAACCAUCCAUCAAGGUAAACUUGGUUGGAGUUAGGUGUUGACUUUUCUUUCUCAACUCUGCUAUCUUUCAACCAUCCAUCAAGAUAAACUUGGUUGGUGUCACCUGUAGAUUUUGCUUUCUCAGCUCGAUUAUCUUUCAACCAUCCAUCAAGGUAAACUUGGUUGGAUUCAGAGGUGUCUUUUGCUUUCUUUGCUCUGGAAUCUUUCAACCAUCCAUCAAGAUAAACUUGAUCGGAGUUCUGGGAGGAUUUGGUUUUCUCUGAUCGUGUAUCUUUCAACCAUCCAUCAAGAUAAACUUGGUUAGAGUUAGCAAUGUGUUUUCGACUCUUCAAUGGAUUUUUGAGCCAACCAUCAAGGUAAGGUUGAUCAGCUUGUAUUUCUUGUACAUUCUCUUGCUGAAGUUUGAUAUAUCGGGCAAAGCUUCCUUGUCCAUUCUAUAAUACAAUUGAAUAAAUGGAUAUUAGUGAGUUAUUUUUGGAUGGUAUAUAUGAUUACAAAAACAAAAUUAUGUGUUUUAUGAGACACAUUAUGUUACAUAAAUAAGACACAUUCAUUGUAUAUUUCAGAUGGAUAUAGAAUGCGAAAUAAAAAUCAAAGAAAAACAAUUUUUUAAAUUUCAUUGCCGCAUAGAAAAUAUUAUUUUGUCAAAUUAAAUAGAACAACUUGAUUAAGUGAAUGAUGAAAUCAAAUCAAAUAAAGAUGCAAAAUGAUAGAUUGUGAUAAAUAAAUGAUGAAAAAUAUAUGUGUAAAAGAUACAAGAAUGGAUGCAUAACUUACAAUCAAUAAGAGCAUGAUAAAAGGGAGGAGAGACAAAACAUCUUUGUUUGUCAUUUCUUUAAUGUUAUGAUUUUGUGGGAAAAUUGUUUUAAUGUAAAAAGAUGUAUUGAAAUGGAAGUGAAUUGUGCUAUUUAUAAGUGAAUGAAAAGAAAAACUACAUUAAGGACAUUGAGACUUUGGUUGGCAAGAUUAUUUUUUUAAAUAUUUAGUUUAAAUUAUUUUUUAAAUGUUUAGUUUAAUUGAUAAGUUUAUAUGUCUAAGAAAGAUCAAUUUACUAAGAUUUAUUAUUUACAAGAUCUAUUAGGUGUGUUGUUUUGAGUUAUAAAAAAUAUUAAAAAAAUUGUUUGUUUGAUAUAUUUUUUUAAUUAGAAGCUCCUAACUAAAUCCUCUUAGUUUAAAAUAAAUAAAUUUUAGAACUGCUACUGCAAUUAUUUUUAUUUUAAAAUUAAAAAUGAUUUUCUAAAAAUCCUUAAUAAAAACAUAUUAAAAUGACAAAGGUGAUUUUGUUAAAUGUUAAACAAACAUUUAUUUUGAUAAGUUAUUUCAAAUAACUUAAAAUUUCAUAAAUUUAUUUUAAUUUAUAAUUAAAGUGGUAAUUAUGAUAAUCUCGCCUCUUGAGUUCUAAUAUUUGAGCUAAUAGUAUAAAUAUGUUUUAGUUGAAUUAGAAUUUGCAUUAGUGAUAGUUUCAAUUUUACAAUUAAUUAGACUAAAAUAUUGAUGUUCGUCAUAUAUAUAUAUAUAUAUAUNUAUAUAUAUAUAUAUAUAUUAAAUAGUAAUUAUAUAUUAUAAAUUUUAAUUUUGGGAAAAAAAUAUUAUUUCAAUAUUUUAAAAUUUUAAUAAUUAUUGUUUUAUAAAAUUAAUUAUAAUGAGUAUAAUAUUUUAAUUUUAUUAUCAUCAAAUAUACCCUACAUCAAAAUUCACAAACUUUAAAUAUAAAUAUCGGGAUCCACUUAAUUGAAUUGGAAUUUAAACAUCAAAAUUUAGACAAAUGUUAAAUUUUGAAGCACUUGGUUUUUGAAUCAUGACUCUUCUACAACCAACUCCUAGGGACUUACUACAUAGCCAACAAUGAAUCCAAAAUAGUUUCACAAGAAACACUAAAAUACUGUGUUGGCCUUUGCAUGUUUAAGAUGUUCACAUGUAGCUGGGGUUUGCGUGCUUAUGAGCUUACCUAAUAGUAAGUUAAAAAAACAAUAUAUUAUUAUACUGACCAGUCUAAAGAGAAAUAGAUAAGUUACUGUAUUUGUUAUUAUAAUCAAAUAUUAUCUAAAAAAGAAAUAAAUUAUAAGGAAUAUGUUUUCAUUAUUUUUAUCUUUAUUUAAAGAAUAUAAAUAUUUUUUAAUUAAUGAUAAAUAAUUGAUUUUAAAUGUGAUUACGGUUUAUAUCUUUAUCUAAGAAAAUAAAUGAUAAAAUGUGAAUACUCAUAUCUAAAAUUAAAUAUUUAUCCAAUUAUGUAGGCCAGCCUCAUAUUUAUUGUAAAAAUUUUAACAAAGUUUAAAAUAAUGAAAAUUAGAAUAAUGGUAUUCCUACAUUAAAUCUUACAUCAAAUACUUACAUUAAAUAUUUUUUACCGUAUUUAAACGAUGAAUAAUAUUUUUAUUUUUAAUAAAAAAAUAUUUAUAUAAAAAUGUUUUUAUUUUUAAAAUUAUUUUUAUAAUAAAAAUAUAAAAUUUAUCACAAAAUAAUUUUAUUAUCGUAUUAACUAUAAAAAUAUAGGUUAUAAAUCACAUAUUUCACUUAUAAUUCAUUAACCAGUAAAAUACAUAAUAUUAAUCAAAUUAUGAUAUUAAAAUAUGAAAUAUAUAAUUUGCUUAAUUAUUAUAUUUUAUAUUUUAAUGUCACAAUUUAUUUAUAUUAUUUAUUUUAUUAAUUGAAUAUAAUAAUAAGUAAAAUAUAUGGUUAAUCAUCUAUAUUUUUAUGAUUAAUACAAUAAUAAAAUUGAUUAGUGACAAAUUUUAUAUUUAUAUUACAAAAAUAAUUAUAAAAAUAUAUCAAAAACGAGUUUAAGACAACGUAGGAAAAAGUGAAGUGACACUCAAAUAUUAUUUGCUCAUUAAGCAAUCAGUUAAAAUUAAAGUGAAUUAACGAAUUAAGCAUAAAGUUUCACACAAUCAAAAUUAGGGAACAAUAAAUCAAUCGAACAAAACAAAACUACUAAGUUUUGAGUGUAAAAUUUGGUGUAAUAUUAAAAAUUAAAAAAAAAUUGAGGUUUAUAAGAUGUAAAAUUAUUUAUUAAACUCUUUUAAUAAAUUUAAUAUUAUGAUAAUUUAUUAUGAUAAAUAAUAUUUAAAAUAAGAAAAGAUUGAGCUUUUAAAGGAUGAAAUUCUAGUCAUUAGAUUAAAGAAAACAUCACCAAAACCUUAUUUCACAGAUGAAAUCGACUACAUAUAUGAUAUAUCAAUUUUCACGCUAAUAUUCUAUCAAUCACCAUAUUUUAUAGCCAUUAGACUAUUUAAUCAAAAUUAUUCAUAAUAAAUUUCAUUUGAUAUUUACUUUUUAAUAGAUAAUAAAGUAGAUAUAUUUAAUCUUUAUUAAAAAAUUAUUAAACAUUAUUGGUAUUAAAUAUGAUUUUAUUAAUUUUAAUUUUGAUAUAAUUAAUGGAUAUAAGUAUUGGCUCAAGAUAUAUCAAAGCCUUUGCCAAAUUUUUAACAAAGAUUUUAAUAAUAAAAAUUAUGAGUGUAAUAUUUAAAAUAAAAAAUUGAGCUUUUUAAAAUGUAAAAUUAUUGAUUGAAUUAUCAUAAAUCAGUUAAGUGUGUAUUUAUGCAAGAUGGGACAUCCCAUUUGCAGGGGCACAAAUUCAACCCACAACAUCUCACUUUUUAUCUUGGAAAAUUCCAAUCAAUAAAUUACUUGAUCCAAAAAAAUCAUAGUAAAUCUUGUUUGAUAUUUAUUUUCAAUCAAAUAUAUGUAAUCCUUAAUGAAACCUUAAACAUUAUUGAUUUUAAAUAAGAUUUUAUUAACUUUAAUUUUAUACCAUUAAUAGAAGGACUAUAUUCUGGAACGAAUUAAUAUAUUUUCGUUAUUCUUAUUUUUAUUUAAAUAUUUAAAUAUUAUUUAAAUUAAUAAUAAAUAAUUGGUUUUAAAUGUGAUGAAGUUUAUAUCUUUAUCCGAAAAAAUAAACGAUAGUGAAUAUUUAUAUUAAAAAAUAACACAAUACACUUAAAUAUUUAAUCUCCUUAACCUAUCUAAAUAUCUAGGCCGGCAUAAGACAUAUUGAAGUUUAGUGUAAAAAAUUUAACAAAGCUUUUAAUUAUAAAAAUUAUGACUGUAACAUUUAAAAUAAAAAAAAUUGAACUUUAUUAUUAGAUGUCAAAAUAUUUAUUAAACACUCUUAAUAAGUAUUAAAUAUAAAUUUAUUAAAUUUAUUUUUGAUACAAUUAAUGAAUAUAAGUACGGGCUCAAGAGAUAUACACGCCUUUGAUAAAAAAUUUAACAAAGAUUUUAAUUAUAAAAAUUAUGAAUAUAACAUUUAAAAUAAAAAAGUUGAUCUUAAAAGAUGUAAAAUUCUUUAUAAAAUUAUUAUAAUAGUUUUUGAUUAAUUAAUAUGCACAGUCAAUAUCAUUUUUUUAUUAUUAUUAUUAUUAUUAUUAUUAUUAUUAUUAUUAUUAUUAUUAUUAUUAUGCGUCGGUGUACAACUCAUAAAAAAAGACGUCAAUCAUAAAUAUAUAUUGGUACAGUGUCGUCAAUUGGAUUGACGCAUCCUCGUAGGUGUUAUAUGCAGGGAUGAAGCUAGAGAUUUUGAACUGUAGGAGCAAUAUAUUAAUAUAUAAAUUUAUUUCUAUUUAUUUUUAAAUCAUAAAUAUAUAUUUAAUUUAUUUUUAAAUCAUAAAUAUAUAUUAUAUCUAUUUUUUAAGAAAUCUAUCUCUAAAACAAUUUUUAUUAAUUUUUUAAAAUUUUAAAAUUUUAAAAUUUUGUAAAUUUUAAAAUUUUAUUAUCAAGAAAAAUAUUUUUUUAUGUAUUUUUUAUGAGAUCAUAAUAUUAACAUAAAAUUCUAUAAAUCAAUUUUUUUAAAGAUCGAGGAAAAAAUUAUUUUAAAAUUAUAACAAGAAAAACAAUUCAAUAUAUUUCAUCUGACAUGUUUUAAUUUAAUUAUUGAAAAUAAAAAAUUCACUAUAUUUUUGGACAAUAUCCUAAAUAAAUAUUCAUAUACUUUAUUAUUUUCAUCUAAUUUUUAGUAAUAUCUUCAUAAUAAUAAUAUUAUUUAUAUAAAUUUAAAAUAAUAUAAAUUUAUAUAUAUAUAUAUAUAUAUAUAUUUAUAUAUAUUAUAUAUAUAUUAAUAUAUAUUAUAUAUUAUAUAUAUAUAUAUAUAUAUAUAUAUAAUAUAUAUAUAUAUAUAUAUAUAUAUAUAUUAUAUAUAUUAUUUAUAGUAGGGACCAUUUGUCUUAUGCUAUUUUAAUUUGUUAUUUCUUAAUUUCCCCGUCUAUUUCAGUGUUUGGAUUAAAAAAAGGGGGGGGUCGGGGGUUCCCUCUUGGGGGUGGGUUUAGUAUUUUAAUGUUUUUUUACUUAAUAUUUCUUUUGUGUUUUUCACAUUCUUCUAUGUCUUAGAUUGACGUCUUCUUUAUUUUGAAAGUGGGUUACUCUCAGAAAUAAUUGAAAAAGUAAAUUAUUUUAGAUAUCUAUUUGAAAAGUUAGAAAAUCUUAAAUAUUAUUCAUUUUAAAUAAUAUUUUAUUAAUAUAAUUUUUAAUACCAUUAAUAGAAGGACUAUAUUCUGGUAUCAACCGAAAGGAUUAUAUUAUUGGACUAUUUUAAAUUUCCUAUUAUAUUGUUGUCGUCUAUUAUCAAUUUAUUUUAUCAAUAAAUCACUAUUUGAAAUUUUAUUAGUAUUUAAGUCUUUAAAUUCAUCUACACCUUUGACUUCUACUAUUAAUUUUCAUUUUCAUUUUUUUAAUGUUUAUAUAACUGGUACAUUGUUAACUUGUUUAUUUAAUAAACAUUAAGCAAUAUUUUUAAAUUAACUUUUUAAUUUAUUUUUAUAAAUUUAUCUAAAGUUCCCUUUUAUAAUUUAAUUAAAAUUUCAACUCUCUUUUUUUAAUUUCUAAUUUUUUUUAUUCAAAUUUUUUUAAUUGACAUUACUCUAAAUAACAUAAUAAAACAAUUUCCACAAUAAACACAAACAAAAAAAAAAUUCAAAAAUAAGAUAAUUGAUUAAAUAUAAAUGAUUUAAAUUAAAAGUAAAUAAAAUAAAAUUGCAUAAAUAAAAUAUAAUUUUAUCCUUUUACAAUGCUAGAGAGGACAUACACUUUAUCAUAGAAGUAACGAUUAAUUAAUGGAGAUGAUGAAUUAACAUAUUUUAUACUCUCAUAUACACAUUUUAGGUUGGAAAUGAUUUGAUAUAAUCCUUUAUCUAACCUGUUUAAAUUUUAAUGGGUUGAAUUUGUCGUUCAACCCACAAUUUCAUUGUCAAAAUUGACAGAAACCGACUUGUUUAUUUAAGGGUUGUGUUCGCGAUGUUUUAAAUAAAAAUUAUUUUUUUAUAUAUUUUUUAAGAUAUAAAAAAUUUAACCCAAUUCAAAUUAGAUGAAACACAUCAUAUAAUGUCUAAUAAAGUUCAUCAACACGACAUAACACUCGAUAAUAGUAUUAAAUUCUAAUAGUAUCAAUGUUAAAUUAUUUUAAAACAAUUAUUUUAAUUAACUCUUUAAUCAUAACAUUUAUUUAUUAUAUUUUUAUAAUACAUUAUAAUAAAUAUAUUAUAAAUAUUCUUAUUUUUAAUUAGAAAUAUAUAAUGAUAAGUUAAUUAAAUAAUUAUGGUUUGUGAAAAACAAAAACAAAAUCAACGUCAAAGUUAUAUGCUUCAACAAUUUAUAUAAUGACUCAUUUUUAAAUAAAAUAGCUUUAAAAAUUAAAAGUUUGAAAAAUAAUAGUUGAUAUAUUAUAUAUUUUAUUUAUUUUUAUGUUGACAAUAUAAAACAUAGACAUUAAUUUUAUUCUUUAACCAUAAUUUUUAUAAUAUAUUAAAAUAAAAAGUAGUUAAAAUUAACUAAUAAAAUUAAUUAUAAAUAGUUUAAAUAAUUUAAUUAUUAUCAAAUAAAAAUAUAUAAAAUAUUUAUUUAGUAAAGAAUAUUAAAACGAAUAACAAAUUAUAUGAGAUGAUAUGACUUUUUUAUAAUCUUUUGUUUUCUUAAGUUAAAUUAUUUAGUAGAUAAAAAAAAAAAUUAAAAUUGAUAUAUUUCUCUCUCUUCUUUAAAUGAUAUUUUUUUUUCUAUUUCUUACCUUUUAAUAGUUGGAUUAAUCAAAUGGUUUAAAAUUGCACAUGAGAGAGGGCAUAAGAGAAAAAAUUGGAGAGGAUCCAAUUCCGAUAAAAAGAUGUGGUAAAUUUAUGAGUAGUUUAAUAAUUUAUACAUAUUUUUAGCCUUAUUAAUUGUCACUUCGUUGAAAAAGAAAAAGGAAAUAAUAAUAAUGAUAGUGAUAAUAAUUAAAUAAUAUUGAAUUUUUUGACAAAUAAUGUUAUUAAAUAUUAUUGAAUAUAAUAGAUGAAAGAGAAAAAAAAAUGAAGAUCUUUGUCUGGCUUACCUCCUCGUUGAAUAGGGUAUGCUAACUAUUAAUAUGCCAAAGCCUCUUUAAAAAAUUAAACAAAUCAAUUAUAGGAUCCGAUAACUAUUAAGGAAUUUCUUAUGUCAUCAUAUGAAAUGGAAAAACUAUACAAAAUUUAAAAUAUUCAUUCAAGUUUAAAGAUGCAUCUUCGAAUACACAUUUGUAUCACCUUAUGACGCACUAAAUGAGCGACACCCUAAAGUAAAAUAAAAUCUUAUUCCAAAGAUACAUCUCUGAGUAUUUUGAACAAAUAUAUUGAUAUUUAAGCAAGCGUCCUCAGCAUGACCAGAUACCUGUAUCAUACACUCAGUUGCUGUCGUAUCUUGUCCAGUAAGGGGCAAUUGCGCCAAAAGAGAUUCCGCAUGCAACUCCUCCCUAAAAUCACAAGCAUAAUCCUAAUGUGCCUUGUUCAUUUCAUGUCGGAUACAUAGGGCAUUCUAUAGAGGAUUAUUUGGUCCUCAAGGCCAUAAUGCAAGAGUUAAUUGACCAUAAGGUUUUGUCAUUCUUUGACGCAUGACCCAAUGUCAUAAACAACCCGUUGCCAGACCACUGUGGACAAAUAGUGAAUGCAGUUAGUGGCGAAGAUUGCUCAGAUUCAGUUGCUUCUUCAGAGGAGUAUCGAUGCUAGCAAUAUCAUAUUGAUUCAAUCAUGUAUCAUUUGUAAUCCUUUCUUGUUUUUUAAAUGUUGUUCAUUUGUAACUUGUCUGGUUUUUCAGAUGAUAAUAAUAAUGAAAUAAACGUGCAUGUUUUGCUUAAAUCCAUUCGUGUCCACUCAUAUUUUAUUUUAUCAGUAUCAAACUGUUUGUCGAACAAAAUCAAAAGAGAAUGAUGCAAUUAAAAAUACGCAAGAUCGCUGCCUGUAUGGUUUUGAAUAAGAUCGUGCUGAUGAUGUAAGGCAUUGUUCAAUCCCUAAACACCGGAGAUAUAAGGAAGAUAAUCCCUAGUCAACCCCUUUGGGUAUUGUAAUAGGAGUUUCUUUCUUGAACACAUAAAACCCUCAUGCUUAACCAGGGGCAGAGUAUUCUUCAGUUAGUUUAGACUUGCAUUCAAAUUUAAGAAGGACAAUAUCUCAUCCAGUGAUCAAUCAUAUCAUAUCCCUCUCAAGAGGAUGGAAUCAUAAAUCCAGGAUGGUUAUCCCUUACCCAUCAAAAAGAGUGAGAUAAUCACGACUCGUGCAACAAAUCGAGAAAGCUGUGUCACAAGGUUUUCUCUAGUACAAAAAUAAAAGAUGAAACAAAAUUAAAAGCCCGCUAAGUCAAAAGCUUGAAAACAAGAUUGACUUAGGCAAAAGUCAGGGUAUCCCGGUGGGAUGCAGACCCAAAGGAUCAGCCUAGGAAAAAAUAAGGGUAAACAAAACAAAAGAAUUAGAGGAUCAAUACCAAAAUUCGUAGCGAGAGCAAAUCCCUGUGACUAUAAACAAAAGCAGAAGGCGAGUGGCUAUCGCUCUAAAUUCUCGUGGAUUCCUUAAACCAUCAUUGUUGAUAUUCAAAAUCCUUUCUGAAAGACGAACGCUUAUUUUAAGCUAAUUGAAUAUAGAACUAGAUAACAUCACACAGAAUGGGUGGGUUAGAAUAGGUUUUGAGCCUUAUAUCCUUUCUUUCUGAAACCGUGAACUAGGCCAAGUUACAACCCUCAAAAGACCUAAUUGAAGUAGGGUUUAUUUCAAAAGCAUACUAUGGUAAGAUCGCGUUAAGCUGACUCCUUAAGAUUUUCUUGUCAUAUGUUUGAUACUGAUAUGGCAUUCUAAACAGUGAUUUGUUCACUAGAUGUCAUAAUCUUAGUGAACACACUUGAGUUUUCAAAACUUGCAUGAGCAUGACAUUACAAUUAUCAUUUUAAAAAUGAGCGUUUUACAUGCGAACAUGCAUUUGACACCAAGGAAGCUUACAAUGGGAAAGUUGAUCAAAUUCCUAAUAUCCCAUAGCUCAAAUCUCUUCAAGAGCCCGUCAAUCUAAGGCACCAUGCCAAGAUUUUGCAAAUCUCUCUGAAUCAGCUGUAUAAGGGAAAAGUUUAAUUCGAAGUUCAUAUUGGGGAAGGCCACCUCAAGAGCAUGAGAAGUCAAUCACUCCUAAGAUAAUUAACUAGGAGGAUAUAGUUUCAAGAUGCUGGGGCAAGCCAGUUUGAGAUACUCAGAUGACGAGAUCACUCUAAUUUGUAAUUGGAGAAAUUGGUGCAGAUAUCCAAUACAUUGGGGCAGAGGCAGGCUACGCAGGUACAAGCUCUCUCCAUGUUCUAGACAUAAUCCAGAGGUGUGACAACAAUUUUUCAGCUUGAAGUAGGUUCGAAGAAUCACGUCUGGAGGAUACCAUAUCCUAGCCAAAAAUUUCCACCUCCCUCUAUAUGAGCACCUGGAUUAACCAUUGCAUAAAUCAUUAUCAUGAAUAAAUCACGUCGCUUCACUCAUGCAUACCAUUCAUCUAUCAUAGCAUGAAGCCGUGUGUGAGAAUCAAAGGAAUUAAAGCCCAGUAUUUUAUUGGCAUCUCCAAAUUCCAAACUUGCCUGGUACCUUUUUAAACCAUCUAGUUUGACAAUUCUUCCAAAAUCCAAUUUGCUUGGCGUCUUUUAAGCCCAGUUUGCUUGGUAUCUUUUUUCGACCUUUAGGGUCGAUGAUCCUCUUUUCCAACAUUCAUGGUUGAGGAACCUUUUUUCAAUCUUCAGGAUUGAUAACCUUUUUCCAAUCUUUAGGGUUGACGAUCUUUGUUUCUAACCUUCAUGGUUGUUGAAUCUUUUUCCCACCAUUAGGGUGAUGAUAGACUUUGUUUCCGGCCUUUAAGGUUGAUGAUCCUCUUGCUUUCAACCUUUGCGGUUGUUGAAUCUUCUUCCAACCAUCAUGGUUGUUGAAUCUUUUUCCUACCUUUGUGGUUGUUGAAAAUUUUUCCAAACCUUCUUGGUUGAUGAACUUUUUCAAUCUAUGUGAUUGACAAACUUUUUUCCAAACUGUAAGGUUGAUGACCUUUCUUUUUUUCAAACCUCUGUGUUUGACUUUGUUUCCAGUUUUUGAACUGAUGAUUCAUUUGUGAAACCCCUUGUUUGCAAGAAUAUUUUGGAACUUUCAUGCGCUCUUUGAUUAGCAUACAUGGCCACAUGUUUCAAAAAUGAUAAAAAAAAAUACAAUUUAGCAUGCAUAUCAUGAUCGUCAUUUGCCAUUAAUAUCCCCACAGUACAUCAAAAUCACCAGCAAAUAAACCCGUAAAAAAUCAAGUUGAUAUCCCUAUAUCUCAUACAAUUGUCCUUCAAGGAAAAAAAUUCGGAUACUUCGAUAUUUAAUCCACGCAUACCUUAAAAAGCUGAAAAGCUCUCGCAAUUCGACCAUUCAGGUCUAAGCUGAUUAAAUAGGGGCAGAUGUCGUAUCCUAAAUUUGUCCUCCCUAUUUCAUCUUUCCACUCAAUUUAUCAACUUGAGAUUCAUCUGUACCACAUUCAUAUUUCAUUCAUAUGCAUCAUUCAUUAAUCAUACAUUCAAAGCUUGUGGCCUGCAAAUCUAAGGUUUGUUGAUGGGACAUGGCUCUUCAUAGGCUCAUCAUGUGAGGGGAAACCCUAAUUUCAUACUCUUUUAGACUUUGAUUCAAAAAGGUUACAAUCACGACAUUCAUUUAGUCAUUCAAACCCUUAUUCCUGACUUUGUUGUCUUUCGGUCUCACAAGCUUUCACCUGUGUAUCAUGAAGCCCUAAUCAGGGAAGAUUUGGUCCGGUUGCACCUUAUGGCUUGACUUUUCAUCUUGUGUGUGCUGGAAACCCUAAUUCAUUAGGGAGAGGUGUUUGACUAUCCUAUUAUGCAUGCCUACUGGUUUGGAAUUGCACAUGAUUCAGGUCUUGUUUCAAGCAUCCCUAUGCCCAUCACAUUUAACUUUGCAUAGGCCAUUAACUCAAGUCUUUUGGUAUGGGCAAAUGCAUAGACCCAUAUGCCCGAUUCACUUCAUUCAUAUGAUGCAGAUGAUCAAGGAUGAUUGGUCCAUUUAAGAUUUGGUUCCAUUGGUUCAUUCUUUGUUUCUUAAGCAAAAUCAUUAUUUCAUUUGAAUUAUGUCAUGUGAAAACCCUAAUUCAAAUUUCACAGUUGACUUCGAUUAACUAGUUUACCAAAGUCAACCAUCCCUUUUUGAGUCCAUUAAACUUUUUCAUUAAUCAUUCACACUUAAUCACAUUUUUCGAGCUAUUUGAUGCAUCCAAUUCAUUCAAUUUUCAAAUGUAAUUUUGACCAUUCCAAACAUUUUAACCAUUCAAGGUUAACAAUUUAAGUUCUAUAAACCAUCUUCUUUUACAAUAUAUUUCCACUCAUAAACUUUCCAUAAGCAUUCAAAAUUUUCCAUCAUAAAUAUCAUUCAAUACAAUAAACUUGUCCAUGGUUCGCGCAUUUAAUCCUUUCUUUCCAUCAUUUAUUUGCAUUGCAAUUCUAUUCAUCCAAAGUAUCAAACUUUUCAUAAUCACCAAGUUCCAUUCCAAUACAUUCAAGUUUUACCUACAACUUUCCUUUACAAUUAUUACAAACCAUUGUUUUACAUUGUUACACUAUGUAUCAACCAUAUCCUACAUAACCAUAUUAACCAUUCCAAAUGAUCAAGCAAGAUAGAAUUUCAUUCACUAACCAUACAAGAUAUCUCAAGCAUACAUUUCCAUUUCAAGCUACAUUAUAAUGCAUCAUAAUCCAACAAUAUCAUGAAGCAGCCCAUGGCCUCUUAUGCAUUCACUAGAAAUAUUUCCAUAGCACAAAUUGGCCAUGUCCCAAAAGAUAAUGCACAAAAAAAGCAUGAAAUAUCAUGAUUCUGUUAGGCUCUGUUUUGAAAUUAUUUACCUGAUGAACAACAGACAUAAAUGCCGAUCGAGGUUAUAUGGAAGCUUCAAAUACUGAAAAAGAAAACACACCCAUUGCAUUGAUGGCUACAGCUCUUCCUUUGAAACGCCAUUGAAGCUUCAAUUCGUGGAGCUUAAACCACUGCACCUCUUCGACCUCACGCGGAAAACGCAACAACAGCAUAUGCUUAGAAGAACAGAGGGAGAGGAAUAAGAUUGCAGCAACAUAACAGAAAGAGUGAAGGAACAAAAUUGAGACGAAGAAAAAGGGAAGAGAUCGGUCAAUACCUGUUCGCAGUUGAAGCAUCAAAUUUGGUAAGUCCUUUUGAUUUUCUUUUCUUUCUGUUUAAGUCCGCGAGCACAAUGUUGGAUGGAAUCACAUGUCGAUGAGGUUGAACACAAUCCAUGAACUCUAUUAUCUGUUAGAAUUAGAAUAUUAGGUUAUUAAGUGACAAUUAGAAAUUGUGAUUUAAUUAGAAUUCUAGUAUUGAUAGAUUUUGGAUUUUCAUUAGAAUUAAUUAGAAAUUUUAGAAUUUAACUAGGGUUUUAGAAUCUAUUUUAGACUAAUUAGAUUUUCACAUAAUUAUAUAUAAUUAUAAUUAAUUAGUUUUUGAUUAAAUGUUGAUUAUUAGAAACUAUUUUCCUAAUUAAUCCAUUUAUGCAUAUUGACUAUUUUACCCUUUAGAGGUUAUGUUUGUCAUUUUAGCCAUAAGGACAUGUUCCUUUAGGUUUAGAUCUUGACAUCAAUUUUUAAUCAAGUCUUGACCAAUUAUAUCAUGAUCCCUUAGGAUAGUUUGUAACAAAUUCUAACCAUUAGAUUAGGAUUUAAUCUAGUUUUCAAACUAAUUCAAACCUUCUGAUUCAAAUUGAUCAAAAGCAAUUUUGAUCAAUUAAAUCAUUUGAUAUUGUAUAAUCCCACAGUCUAAUUUGAGUGACACAAAUACUCUUGGUCACCUAAUGAGACUUUUUCGGUAAGUUGUGGAGCUCGAGGCCUCAAGUCAUAUUUUCAAUCAAGGCAUCAUCGGUCAGACCAAGCAGUGGAUAAUACAAGGUACAUCAAAGGUGGCAUCUUUGAGAGCUUGUCAAAUCAAAGUUAUGAUUGUGUGGCAUGAGCCUUGAGUAAUGAAGAAAGAAUGAGACUGAAGAAUUCCUACCCCCAUCAACACAAAGGGCAUCAUGUCAGCAACUUGUUAAUUUUGAUUCAAGUUGCAUGCCAUGAGCCUUAAGAAACAAAGAAUGAUGAGAGUGGGGAAUUCCUAUCCUUGUCUAGAAUAUUCUUGGGUACGGGACGAAUGACCCAGUUGCUCAAAGUAUUCGCCUUUUUCCAUAGACUUUGGUGCAAUUUAAAUCAUGCAAUUGACAAGCCUUCUUCUUCAAGCAAGCAUCAAUCAUUCAACACUUCAAUAGUGAAACACCAUUACCCCCUUUAGUAUUGGACUUUCCUCCUGGAUGUUCAUACAUUUCUUGGGAUUAUUACCUUGGGGUCACAUACCCAUCUCGCAAUCAAUUGCUUCAUGCAUUGCCUAUCAGUUCACACUAUGGCAUACUUCAUUGCUUGCCCUCAACGUACAGACCCUGACAUUCAGCCUAUGGAGUACAUACUCUGGCUUUGUUUCUUCCCCAUAAGGUACAGACCUUGGCAACUUCUUGCAGCCCAUAGAGUAUAGACUCUGGCUUUAUUCCUUGCCUACAACAUACCGAUCUUGGCAUCCUUGCCCUAAUGAGUUCAGACUCUGGCCAUCUGAUUUUGUCUAUACAGUACUGACUUUGACAUAUUAUUAUGCCUUAUAGUUAAGACUUUGGAAUUCAUUCAUCCAGCCCAUUGGGUUCAGACUUUGGCAUCGUACUAUUUUGCCCUUAUGGAGUUCAGACUCUGGCAUUCAAAUCAGUUCAUUUGCCUUAUAUAGUUCAGACUAUGGCAUGCUUAUACAUCUUGCCCAUGGAGUUCAGACUCUGGCAACCUUUAACAUUGUCUUGAAGUCAGACUUUAGAAUUAUAUCUCCUUUUCCCUUAUUGAGUUCAGACUCUGAGAAUCUGUUCCUUGCCUUUGUAUUAGUUCAGACUAUGGAAUUCAUCUAUCUUGCCUUGUGGAGUUCAGACUCUGGCUAUAUCUCAUUUGUCCUUAUGGUUGAUUACCAUCUUUGGUAAGUGUCAUACUCUCGCUUAUUAAGCAAUCACCUUGCCUCUGAGCAAUCCUAUCAAAUCUCCCUUUGCUUUCAGUUGUAGUAGGCUAAACUACGAUUGCUCUGAUUUUCUCAUUGCACGAUGAGAAUACAUAGGCACAAGGGUUCAAAUCCUCCGUGAGCAUACUUAUUUAUUACUCCUACCUUAGGGCAUUUCUCCAUCCAUCUCCAUGAUACAGUCAUAUACUACCUUUAUUCACUUCAUGUGAUAUACCCUAUUCUUUGAGCCAAAUACAUUAUACCUUUGUGCUCCAUCUUGUACCCCUUUGUGAACCAAGAGAUGUUUCUGUUGUGAAACCAAAAUUAAUUUCCUUUGUUUUCGGCUAUACCAUAUAGUGGCGAAUGUUCAGACAAUCCAUAUAUCGGUUUAUUCCAGUUUUACUCUUGGGUUCACGCUUUCACCCCUUGUUGGGGUUCAAAAUAUUAUCCUCUGGUUCAGGCCAUACCUUGAUCACAACUUCCUUUUCAUCUCCCACCACUAGUUCUUUGAACUACGAAGUUAUGAAUUCCUCAUUGCACUAUGAGUAUACAUAGGCAUGAGGGCCCUAAUCCUCACCGAGCACUCUAUCUAUUUCUUUUCAUUUUCCCCAUUCUUUUGCGAGUAAUCUUUAGAUACAACACUCAUUCGAGCGAGAACAAUCAAAACGGUUCCCAUGGAGUACCAUAGAUGUUAGGGAUGCUAAUACCUUCCCAUUGCAUAAUCAACUUCCUUACCCAACAUAUCUCUUUCCCCUGGGUUUUAUCGAUGUGUUCGGGUAUAUUUCCGCUAGCUGCAUCACCAACUCCAAAAUCUCAAAAAAGUGUUUUUAAAGGAACUCGCAUUAGCAAACCACCUCCUUCACCGUCUCUACCAAAAAUUUCAUUCAUUGACGAGAUGUUAUUUUUUUCAUAAAUACAUCGAACAAAUCGUCAAUGUUGAGGGUGACGGUAAUUGCGAUUUUCGAGCUAUUUCGAUUUUGCUGGGUAAAGGAGAAGAUGAUCACACACUUGUCUGCCAUCAACUUAUCCAUGGUUGAGGACCCAUAUAGAAUUAUACACACGACUUUACCGAAAGAAACAAAAUUUUGAUGCAAUUUAUGAGUCUUUUAUUCCUUGCAUUAGUGGUCCGAAACCAGAGGAAAAAUGAAUGUGCUUCCCUGAAAUGAGUCAUCUCAUAGCAAGUGCAUCUGAUAAAGUGUGUAUUGGUCUUACAAGAUACGAUUUUUUGGAAACUUUUUUUCCACUGCGCACCACCCAACCUCAAAAUCUAAAUGAUCGUAUUUUGUGUAUUAGAAUACCUUUAAAAUUACGACACUUUGUUCAAAUUUAUUUGAAACGGGAUGUCGUAUACCACUUACAUCAGUGGAGUGGACAACUCAUUCAACAAUAAAAUCCGGGACUUAGACGGGCCAAUUUAUGGAAAAGAUGCAAGAGUUUACCAAAUUGAGCGACAUUGAAAGUGAAUAUAAUGCACAAAAGUCAAAGGGGGAACCACUCAUACUUAUAAAUUUAGCCAUCGACAAAUAUUUCGAUUCGUUUUAGUUUUUCGUUAUCAAUUAAUUGUAUAUAAUUUUGUAUUAAUAGUAAGGGUUAAUAACAUUUUUAUAGAAACAUUCUAGUUGUACCUUGGGGGGAAUGACCCAUGAUUGAUGCUUACGUGUCAUGAUAAAUAUCAUGAUAUAUUUUAGUUUUUAGUUUUUUAAUUACAUAUAUGCUUACGUGGACUUACAGUUUUUUAUUUAUGAAUUAUUUCUAUUUUCAUGUGAAAAUUUAUUUUCUUUUUCAUUUAUUUUAAUCAUAACAAUUAUCAAAACUACUUUAAGAAAGUUCUAAAAUUUUGUCAACAAUGAAAUUCUCAUACGGAUUUGGCAAGGAACUUUGAAAGGAGAUUUGAAAGCGUGAACCACAACCAUAGAUAGGAAGAAGGAGAAUUAGGGUUCAACAUAGUUUGAACCGUGUUUAUGUUUAUGUUAGGGACCGAUUCGGGCUAGACCCAAUCUAGGUUCGGUUGAUCCACUAACCAUUAGUUUUUUUUUUAAAUUAUUUUGUGAGUAUACCAUUUGUUGUUUGGCCUUACCUAUUUGUGACUUGGGCAAACCCCACUUUAGGAGCCAUCUUGUCUUAUUUAUUUAUUUAUUUUUGUCUUUUCCUCAACCUUUUUUAUUGCAUUAAUAUUUUAGUAAAAGAAUAUAUAAAAAACAUAAACUUUUUCAUGAAAAAAAAGGUGGUUUACAAUUUUAUAAUAAUUGAUUUUUAUUGUUAUUUCAAUUUUUUUAUCAAUAAAUAAAUAAAAGUAGACAAAAUUUGUUUGAUGCGUGCCUUAGGGUUUCUUUUUCCUAUCAAGCUAUAUCUCAAAAGAAGAAUAUUUCUUUAAGAAUUAUUCCUUUUUUUAAAAAUAAAUUUGAUUCCAUUAUGGUUUGAUUUGUUUGAUCUUUAUUGAUUGUGUGAAUGCUUGUAUUGUUCAUACUUGAUCCAUGAUUUAUGUAACCUUUCACUUAGACCUUCGAUUGUUAGUAAGAUAAAAGUAAAUGUGCAAUAAAAUCAACCUUUUAAAAUAAGAUUCAAACACUCUAUCGAUAUGAAUUUGGUUUUAAAAAGAUCUCACUAUUUUCACCAUCCAUUCAAAGUUAAUUUCAAGUCAUCUCACAAAUUAUUUUCAUGCUAACACGAAUAAACCCUCGAUCAACAUCGAGUUUCUUUUUUGCUUAUUAAAAACUUGAAAAUCAUUUUCAUAAUAAAUCAGUUGAAAAAGGAAUGGGAGGCGCACACAUCUCUACUCCUCGAAUAAGUGAGUGAUUGGUAGACUCCAUAUUGCUCUAACUUUCAUCUUCCGAAUAAAAUAUCCUAAAUAAACAUGGAUGAAAAAGGAAGAGAGGCGCACACAUCUCUACUCCUCGAAUAAGCAAGUGGAAGACACACACCUCGCUACUGCGAAUAUUUUUUCUUCCGCAAAUAAUUUUCAAAAUAUUAAAAUCAAACAAAAAAGGAAUGGGAGGCGCACAACUUGUUGCUCCUCGAAUAAGUGAGUGAUUGGUGCGCGCCAUAUUGCUCGAGCUUUCAUCGUCUUCCUACAAAACACUAAACCAAUCAAACCUAUUUUCUCGCCCCCUUCGUUCAUCCCAAGACGAUGUAAACACGCUUCAUUUCUACCAUGCGCAAGAAGUUAUAACUCUUUUCGCUCGAAUGUGACGAGAACAAAUUUGUGAGAAUCUGGAUUAUGUUAUUCAUUCUAAUGUGAUGCCAAUGUUCACUUCUCCAUGUUUUUAGUAGCAAAUAAUGUUUUCGCUCGAAUGCGACUAAGUACCUUUCGUAAAAACUGAUCAACAAACAAAAAAUUUCUACCCAGAACUACGUAGCCUUGAGUUUUUCAUCGCACCUGAGAUAUGUAGAAGCGAGACCCGUAAUCUCGUCAGGCACAUUAAUAAAAGAAAACAUUUUGCGACCCAUUUUGUUUUCUCUUUACACUUUUGACCACUCGAAGAAAACAUAUGACAUAAGCUAAAAUUUCAACCACAAAUCUAACUAAAUGGUUCCCGUUGAGUGUAACAGAUGUGAGGGGUGUUAAUCCCUUCCCCUCGCAUAAUCGACUCCCAAACCUGAAUUUGAUUGUGACAAACAUUUUCUUUUUCUUUUAAGGAUUUUAUCAAUAUUUCCCCUCCUUUUUGGAAUAAAUCAAUUUUGAUGGUGACUCUGUUAUCUUGACCAUGCAAGCGCUCAUGGUCAUUUUUCGCGUCGCGACACUACUGUACAAUAGUUAUCUGUAUCAAAAACUAAAAUAUUUGUGUCUGUAUCUUGUUGUCUAGGAUUGUUGGAAACGAGAAGGAUGGAAAAAUAAAGUGUGUUUAUUUUUCUAUGUUGUAAAAUCACAAGGUGGUUUUUCUUGGUGAUUAAGUUAGAAUCUUGUGUAUAGAAUCUAGGUUUAGGCUUGUACAAAAUAAUAACAAUAUUGAAAUCUCUUAUAGUGUCUAAGGGGACUGACAUACUCUCAGAUUGUGAUGGGAACUAGUAUGAUUUUCGAUGUUAUUUACUUUAUGCACUUUACUGCUUUCACCACCUAACCAUAAACCAAAAAAUAAAGAAACAUUCAUCUCUAAAAACAAUGUACUUACAGCGAGAGCAUGAUAUUCCGCUUCAGUACAUGAACAAGACACAAAAUUUUGUUUCUUUAAGCGCUAUGAAAUCAAGGAGUUACCCCAUAACACAUAAAUGCUAGUGUAUAUUUCCUAGUAUCCAGACAACGUGCCCAGUCGAAGUCAGCAAAACCAUGCAGCUUUAAGGAAUUAUUGCUGGCAAAAAAAUGCCUCGAGUAGGAAAUGCCUUCAGAUACUUCAAAACUCGAGUGGCUUCCUAACGGUGAGGAACCAAGGGGUUAGCCACAUAUUGGCUAAGGUGACGGACAAUAAAAGAAAUACUUGGCCGUGUGUUUGUAAGGUAAAGUAGCCUGCUAAUUAAUUUACAAUAUGAAGAAGGGUCCUCUAAAGGAGUACCUUCACUAGAUGAGAGCUUCAUGUGAGGAUCAAUAGGUGUGGAGACAAGCUAAGCCCCAAGAAAACCAGUGUCCUCAAGCAGCUAGAGCAUGUAUGUUCUCUGGCUGAGAAAGAUACCAGAAGUAGAACGUGCAAUUUUGAGGCCCAAGAAGUACCUUAGUUGACUGAGAUCUUUAAUGCAAAAUUGUUGAUGCAGGAAAGACUUUACUUGUUUAUUCCACAAUCGAGUCGCUUGUCAAGACAAUAUCAUCAAUGCACACUGAUAAGGAAGUGAAACCAUGAGGUGUGAUCUUGGUGUAUAAUGAGUGACCAACAACAGAUUGAGAGUAGCCUAAUGAAAUGAGAGCUGAAGAAAGCUUAGAAUGCCAUUGUCGACUGACCUGUUUCAGUCCAUACAAUGAUUUUUUUAAGUGUACAAACCUUGUUGGAUUCAAGAUUACCAUAGCCAAGAGGAAGAGACAUAUAUACUUCUUUAUUUAGGUCUCCAUGAAGGAAGGAGUUUUUAACGUCCAGUUGCUCAAGGUGCCAGUGUUUGACAGCUGCAAGAGAUAAAAGAACACGAACAAUAGUAAUUUUGGCAAUUGGGAAAAAAGUAUCAAAGUAAACUACAUGUUCUAAUUGAGUGUAACCCUUGGCUACCAACCGGUCCUUGCAUAUAUCAAUAGAGCCAUUGGCAUGGUACUUGACUUUGUAUAUCCAUUUACAACCAACUGGAGUUUUGCCUAGAGGAAGGUCCACAAUGGUCCAAGUUUGAUUGUCCUUAAGAGAUGCAAUUUCAGUAUCCAUGGCCUACUUCCAACAGUCAUGUUUAGAGGUAUGAAGAUAGGUUUUUGGUUUAAAUAUGGAUGAAAUAGAGCAACAAAAGGAUUUGUAAGUUGGAGAGCAUUUUUUAUAUGAUAUAAAGUUGGAGAUAUGGAAGGUAGUGGAAGAGGAGUUAUUUAUAGAGGCAUAUCUAUUUGAUGAAAGAAAGAGAUUACAAUAAUAGUCUUUGAGAAAACUAUGAGGGUGUUUGGUUCUCAUUGAUUUUUGAGUUAGUAGUGUGGAUUGGUUUUGGGGAAUGUCUGAGGGAGGGUUAGAAUUAUGUGGAUACAUGUUAUCAACUAAGGUAUCAUGAAGGAUGUUGGGUUCAAAGUCAAUAACACUAGGAUCUUGGGUACUUGGUGAUGGAUUAAAAGUAGUUUGAUAUGGACUUGAGGUACUAGAGUCAAUCAAAGUAGGUUGAUUGAGACUUGGAAGGUUAGGGAUAAGUCCUGUUUCAGAAGUAAUAGGAUAAUCAUAAGAAUUUGUGACUGGUGUGACAACAGUAGAAGGAGUGGACAUAUGAGGCUCAGGGGUCAGAGUGAGGGCCUGAGGUGUAACAUAGUCAAUGUCAUAGGUGAUGUCCAUCAAGCUAUGAAUAUAAGUAGGGAGAUUUGUGGCAUUACUUUUGAAUGGAAAGGUGGUUUCAUAAAAGAAAACAUUUAGAGAUAUGAAUAAGUUAUGAGACUGAAGGUCAUAGAGAAUAUAACCUUUAGUACCAUCUUUGAAACCAAGGAGAAUGGCUUUUCUAGCCCUACCAUUGAAUUUUGUUAUGUGGGUCUGUAAAGUUGUUGAAAAACAUAAACAAACAAAGACUUUCAAAUGAACAAUAAUAUAUUAAGUUUUGAAAAAGCAACUCGUAUGGAGAUUUUGACUGAAGUUGAGGACUAGGGAUCCUAUUAGUCUUGUGGACAACAUGUUGAAUACUGAAGUUCCAUAGGUUUAAAGGAAUAUGUGUUAAUGUUUUCUCUCAACCACCCCAUUUUGCUGUUUUUGUUAUAGUGGUGGUGGUGGUGUGUGUGUGGCGGGGGGGGGGGUGUUCUACACAAGAUUUAUGGCGACUUAUGCCUUUGGAAGGGAAAAAGGAACUAAGAGUUAGGAACUUUGAACCCUUAUAUGACCUAAAGCAUUUAAGAGUGGUUUUGAAUUUAUUUCCUAUUGAGGCAAUAAAAUGUAUUACACUUUGUUUUGUUUCAGAUUUUUCCUUAAUAAAAUGACCCAUGUAAACCUUGAAAAUCCAUCAAUAAGAGUUAAGAAAUAUUUAUAGCCUAAAAUAGAAUCAGUAGAAAAGGGCCCCCAUAAAUCAACAUGUAAAAGUUCAAAUGGAGCAUGAGUAUGAGUAAGACUAUUUAGAAAGGGGAAUUUCUUUUGUUUUGCAAAAUGAAACGAAUCACAAGGGUUCAUGUUAUUUUUACAAGGGAUGGGGGGAAAAUGUUUAGCCAUAGUUUUCAUACUGAAAUUAGAAAGGUGGCCUAGUCUUAGAUGCCAAAGUUCAAAGGAAUUAGAAAUAACAUAAUUACUAGUGGAAUAAACAUCACUAAUAUCUAUCACAUAGAGGCCUCUGUGCCAUUUAGUUGUACCAAGCAUUUGCUUUGGAUGGUUCUGCAAAAUAUGACACAAGUUUGAAGAAAAUUUCAGAUAGCAAUCAAUAUUGCUAGUCAAUUUUGUGACUAAGAUUAAAUUAACAUGAAAGUUAGGAAUAUAGUGAAAAUUGUAAAGAGUUAAGGAAAGGGAAAUGACAAUGUUUCUAGAUAUGCAGGCAGUCAUGUGAGAUUCAUUUGGUAAGGAGAUUAAGCUAUUGAUUAACUUAACUCACAAAGAAAGAGUCGCCACAACGCUUUUAUUAUUUCCAAAGAAAAUAGAAAAAGAACGAACCAAACCCAAAGAAGUUUAAAAAAAACUAAUAAAAACAAAGAUAAGGGUCCAGGGGUUGGUUAUGUACAGGGAAGAUACUAGCACCCUAAGCAUCUAUAGUACUCUACAGGAACAUCUUUGAAAAUAUGUGCAUUUAGAUUUAAAAUGGUGUUGUUUACAAAAGAUUAGGGAGAUGAAAAGAGAUUUUUUUUUUAUAAUUUUUGUGUUUGCCAAGACUUUCUGAACCUCGUGCCUACGUACCCAUAAAGUGCAAUGGCGAAUCAAAACCUCGUAGUUCGUGGUAAAAAUAACAAAGAUGUUUGCUUUGAUUCAUUUUUAAUGAAUUUUUUUUUGUCAUUUUAAGAAGAACAUUCAACUAGCCAUCCACAAGUAUGGGAACUUUGCAUCACCAUGAGAAGGACUCUAACUUGGAUAAAUAUCAACUAGCUCUCUUAUAUAGAAAAGAAUUAUUAUCAAUACUAUGGGGAUAGAAAAAUUAUAUAUCAACUAUGGAAAUGACUCGUGUCUAAACUUUGAGAAAAAAGUUUUAAAAAGGAAAAAAAAAAGUGCACAAAGGGCACAAAAAGGUUUGAAUGAGUUAUGCAUUUUUAGUUUUUUGAAAUUGGUUUGAAUAUGAUUAAGAUGUAUUAGAAUUUAUUAAUAAAAGAUUUUGAAAAGAAAUCACUUGAAAAAAGUCAAGGUUUAUUGAGGAAGUAGUUCAAGUUUGAAAACAAGAAUGUUUUGAAAAAAAGAGAGAAGAUUUUGAAAAUCAAAGAAGGGGAGGAGAGGAAGAGAUUAUCCUAGAACAUAAAGUAAAAGCUAUGGAGGAAAGAUCCAACCAAGAGAUAACAACAAGAAUUCACUCCUUUGGAUUAAGCCUUAAGCAAGUCAAAUAAGCAAAGAAUAUUCCAUGUAUCAGAUGAAACCAAAGUAGCCAAGCAAAAUCUUCAAAAGAAUCUCAAAGUCAAAGGUAGCAGAUGAAUCUCAAGGUCUCAAAUCAGAAACUCCCAAAAGAUAAACAAGUAUGCCACUAGUUCUCUUAGAUGGAAAAUAAUUAUCAUCAAUACUAUGGGUAUAGAAUAAUUACAUCUCAACUAUGGAAAUGACUCAUGUCUAAACUUUGAGAAAAAGUUUUAAAAGAAAAAGUGCACAAAGGGCACAAAAUAGUUUGAAUGAGUAAUGUAUUUUUUAAGUCUUUUGAAAUUGGUUUAAAUGUGCUUAAUAUUUAUUAGCAUUUAUUAAGAAAAUAUUUUGAAAAUCACUUGACAAAAGUCAAGGUUUAUUGAGAAAGUGAUUCAAGUUUGAAAACAAGAAGGUUCUUGAAAAAAAAAGAGAAGAUUUUGAAAAUUAAAGAAGGGGAGGAGCUAAGAAGAUUAUCCUAAAACAUAAAGUAAAAGUUAGGGUGAAAAAUCUAACUAAGAGAUAGCAAGCUUUAUGACAUGUGUUAAGUAAGAACACUCUCCUUUGGAUUAAGCUUCAAGCAAGUCAAACAAGCAAAGAAAAAUCCAUGUGUCAGAUGAAACCAAAGUAACCAAGGAAAUUAUUUAAAGUAAUCCCAAAGUCAAAGGUACCAGAUGAAUCCCAAGGUCUCAAACUAUAAACUCCCAAACAAGGGUCAAAAUUCUAGUUCUAACUCCGUAACUCCAUAAUAAUCCCAAUGAUAGUAACCUCAAGUCCAUGAAUUAAGAGAACCAAUUUUUAGGGGUUUUUUCCUUUAUUAAUGUAUUUAAAAGAAAAAGAAGUCUAAAUGGACAAAGAAAAAAAGGCAUAAACAUAAACAAAGGUCCAAGUGGACAAAUAGAAAAUAGCAUAAAUACAAACAAUAUGAUAUGCGAUGCUAAAAUAAAAUCAUAAAGUUAAUAACAAGAAAUAAAUGGCAAAAAAAUAAAGAGCAUAAGAUAAAUGGCAUUAAAGUAAAUUUAAUAUAAUAAUAUGUUAGUAAGUUGUGUUAGUAAUAAAAAAUUGAAAGAUAAUUUAUCAUUUUUGGGAGAAUACUCAACUAUUCGCCCACAAGUAUGAAAAUGUGGACCUCUACAUCACCAUGAGAAAGACUCCAACUUGGAUAAAAUCAAUAAGUAUGCCACUAGUUUUAUUAGGUGAAAAGGAAACAAUAUUUUUCACACAAUACCAUGGGGAGUAGGAGACUUACAAUCUCACUUAUGAAAAUGACUUACUUUCGGAUUCAGGAUAAAUUUAACGUUAUGUUAAGCAAUCGUAAUUGGACUCAUGUUGAAGUCACAACUAUCUGAGCCCGGUCAAUAAUAAUAUUUAUGUUAAUACAUGCUAGAGAAAUUAUAUGUAAAUCAUUCUCCUAAAGAUAUGCCACACAAAAAAAGGAUGGAUCAAGCACAAAUGUUAAGAGAGUUGUUCAUUACAUCAAUCAAUACUUCAUGAUACUUAGGACAAGCUUAUGCAUCAAUCUAAAGUACCUUAAAUAUUCUAUGAUCAAUUAGGAGGUAGAUUUGAAGUGAUGAAAGUUCAUCAAGUACCAAUUCAUACAUCAUAAACAAGAUGAACACAAACCAUCCAAUUGAUCAAGAGAAAAAAGGAAGCGAAAGAGAUUAAGAAGAAGAAGAAGACGAGAGAAACCAAACUCAAAUUGGAUCAAAGGAUUGAUCAAGUCAUCAUCAAAAUCAAUCAUCCAUCUUGGUAGAUUUGGGUUUUCACCCCAUCAACACCGAAGAUCCAUUGAAUUUGAUGAGAUUUAUGAUCAAAAUAGCCAAGAUCCAAGGUCAACAGAAGUCAACAAAGGUCAAACAAGCAUAAAAUGAAAGAAAAUAAAAUAAAAUGCAUCAAAAAUAUUUUUUAAAUGAAUUUUAAAAGGCAAAUAAAACAAAAAAUUCCAUAAAACCCUUUAAAAUACCAAAUAAAUGGCCAAGAAAAUUAUGGAAGGUUGAAGAUAAAAUAAGGAACAUAAAAUAAAUUUUUCAAAUAUUUUUAAUGCAUAAAAGUAUUUUUAAACUAAUUAAAAAAAGGGGAAAAAGAGGAAAUCCAAGAAAAUAAAAUAUGGAAAAAUAAAAAUCAGAUGAAGAAAAAAAAAAGAAAAUUUUAGAAAAUAUUUUGGGAUUUUUUGGAUAAAAAAUGAAUUUUCUAUAAAUUUUUAAAGAAAAUGCAAUUUAAAAUAAAAAAUAAAAAGAAAUAAAAAACAGAAAAAAAUAGAGGCAUUGGAUCUGACCUCAUUAAUUGACGUGGCAAAUCCAACAACUAUCAGGCUAGGGCGCAUGGUGGAAAAUAGUUAGAAUAAAACAUGGAAUCACAUUCAAAAUGGACCAAUCAAAACAUUUCAAAAUGCCAACGUGGAUAGCCAACUCAGAUGGCCUGAAACAAAUCCAUUCAUCUUCUUCGGUAAUCCCUCAUCGGAGUUUCAUCAUUUGACAAAGUAAGAACAUGAGACUACCACCAAUGUGAUCGUCUCCUCAUCACGAAUUCAACCUAAUGCUCAAAAUUAAUUUAUCUAAAUUGAGUAUGGAGAAUUUCAGAGAAGUUUUAGAAACAAGCAAGUCACAAAAAGUAAAAUUAAAUGAUGAACAUUAUCACUCAACACCAGAUAAGUUAGGGGAAAGCAUAAGAGGGUGAAGGACUACAUUGUGGUAACUCGUUUGAGUUCAAAUGAUGCUCAAAACUACCUUGUCCAAAUGUAGAUCGGAGGUUGAAGAAGCUUGAUCUGGUCAGGGCACUUCAGAAGGUCUUACAGAUUGAGAAUUAUUGCAAAAUCUUCAUAGGAGACUGAAAGUUUUAAUUGAAUCAAGAAAUUGAACUGAAACAAGCUAGAAAUCAAACACGAUAGCUCAAUUUUCUAGAAAUGUUUAAUAGUGGAGCAGGGGUUUUUUAGCUCUCCAAAGCUUGGGAAUAAGGCAAAUAUAUUGCUCUAUUUAUAGGGAAGUGAUUGGUGAUCUCAUACGUGCCAAAUGAUGCUUAAUUCGUGCAAAACAAAUUUGCUCAUGAUGUGAGAAAAGUGUGACUUGUAAAACCAUCAAAACUCAGCCAAAUUAUGCAUUAAAUGAUUCAUUUAACUUUUGAAGACUUGAUUAAUCAUGUUUAGGUCCAAAACGUGUGGUAAAUUGGCUUGUAAUUAAGGAUUAGUGAAGUUCAAAAUUCUGAACAUGGUGAUUUCUUCAGUUCCAAGUUACCAUGUUUAAUUCAAUGGGGCAUCUUGCCUAGGAGGCUUUUUGAUCUCAUUUUUCUUGCAAUUUUUGGACAUCAUAUCAAAGAUUACAAUGUGCCAAGAAAGGUUGCAUUUGGAUGCUUGAGCAGAAGUUUAUGGCAUGUUAAAGUUGGCACAAAAAUUUGGUUAUGCAACUUGGAAAAUUCUAAGUCCCAGAUGGCUAAAAAUGACCCAUAAUGUCUCAAAGAAUUCCAUGGUCUUCCAAGCAUAAUUUGACUUUGAUCCUUGAAGAAAACUUGUAGAGGGCAUCACAAAUGAUAUUAUUCAAAAAGAAUCAGCGUCAAAUGUUGGAAAUUGAAGAAGUUAUAAUCCUUGAAAGUUGAGAAAAAGUCACUUGAAAAUAGGUCAAAUUUCACUAGGUCCACAAAUGACCUAUAAUGUCUUCAAACUUUUGAUGAUCCUCCAUGCAUAAUUGGAUCUUGUAAUGUAAAGAGAAGUUAUAGAGGAUAUUUAGAAGAGUCAUAUGCAAAAAGAAACAUUCAAAAAUAUUGAGGAUUGAAGGAAUUGUGAACCUUGGAACUUUGACUUCAAAUGUUGAAUUUUUGGUCAAACCUCUUGGAAUAAACUUGUGUACUUGGACUUUUAUUGCAUUUCAAGGUACAUGGAUGAUCAUAUGAACUAAAAAUAAGGUGUCCUUAAAUUUAUUUUUAUUAAAUUUCUUAAAGUUUGAGGUAACAUAUUGAAGAAGGCAUGGAAAUAAACACAUGAACCUUUGCCUUUUCUUGAGACCGAUUAUCCACUUUUGUGUAACCGAUUACAAGCGCAAUAUUUUGAUUUUUCCUGCUAUUUUACUUGGUCAAUUCAGUUCCCAAUUGUGUUGUAUCUCUUGUAUAAGUGUUUAGAAUGCACACUCAUCUAAGGUUAAUGCAAUAAUAAUCUCUCACCCUUAAUUCUCCUCUUUCACACUCUACAUCCAAAGUAUCUCCACCAUUGUUCAUCAAACUUGUUGUGUCUUGUUCCAACAUUUGACAUCAAGAGUCUGGUUCAGAUCCACAAACACCUAGUGUGCAACAUGAAUUAUGUUUCCAAUGAAAGAAUCCCUGCAAACCUACAUAUCCUUGAUGCGAAGAAUUAUGAUAAAUGGUGCAAGAAAAUGAAGAUGUUGUUUGGCUACCAAAAUGUUCUUAAAGUAAUCAAGAAUGGUGUUAGCCCUCUUGUUCAAAAUGCAACAGAGGUGCAAAAAGAAACACAUAAGAAAGAGAAGAAGAAAUACUUCAAAGUGUUAUUCUUGAUCCAUCAAUGUGUUGAUGGCGACAAUUUUAAGAAAGUUGGUGAUUGCGAAUCGUCAAAGCAAGUGUGAGAGAUCUUAGAAAAGACAUGUGGAUGGGUUGACAAGGAAAAGGUGGCGAGGUUACAAACUUACAAACACCAGUUUGAAUUGAUUCAAAUGGAGGAAAAGGAGACAAUAAACUAUUUUGCAAUGAGAAUCACCCGGUUGGUGAAUCAAGUGAAGGCAUGCAAAGAAACUGUUACAAAGCAGUAUGUUGUCGCUAAAUCUUGCAUUCUUUAACACUAAGAUUUGACAAUAUAGUUGUGGCGAUUGAGGAGUCAAAGGAUCUCACGAUGAUGAGUAAAGAGAAGCUGCAAAGUUCUCUCGAGGCUCAUGAUAAAAGGAUGGAAGAGAGGAAUAACGUUAAGGCAAAGGCGGAGAUCGCUUUGCAAGCUCGUUUCAAUGAGAAGGACAAGAGAUCGAAAGGAAAAUGGCCCAAGAAAAGAAAAGGGAAUUUUCAUAAUUUUGGUGGAAGAGAGUCCUAAAAUUCAAAUAAUUUUACUUGUCAAAGGGGUGAGAGCAUCUUCAACAAACAUGGUGGUCAAGGCAACUUUAGAGGUAGAAGGAAGAGGUUUGACAAGAGCAAGGAGUAGUGCUAUAAGUAUCAAUGGUUUGGCCAGUUUGCAAAAGAAUGCAAUUUGAACAAGAAGGAAUCUCAAGGGGAUGAAGCCAAGGUUGCAAGAUAAGAGUUUGAUAAAGAGAAUACAUUUUUGGUCAUGAUCAAAGAAGGGAAUUGUAGCAGCAAACAACUGCGGGACAACAACUACAACAACUCAACGAAUGCUGAAUAGGUUGGUUGAAUGAUACGAUUAACCAAUUGCAUGAAGAGGAAGACGCCAUGAUGAGUUUGAAAGGAGUUCAAUGCAGUGAGGAGUGGUAUUUGGACUUGGUUUGUUCAACUCAUAUAACGGGAAUAAAGGAUUGGUGUGCCAAAAUCAAUUGUGCCAUGAAGAACAAAGUAAAGUUCGCGGAUGACACCACUCUAAUAUUCAAUGGGAUCAGUGAUGUUUUAAUCAUGAGAAGGGAUAAUGGACAUUCCUUGACCAUAAAUUCUUGUACAUUUAGGGAAUCAAAUGUAACCUUCUGAGUAUUGGCCAAUUUCUUGAGAAGGGUUAUAAGAUUCACAUGGAAGACAAGGGGUUGCGGGUUAUGGAUGUAAGAUGAGUCUUGGUCCUUAAAGCGCAUAUGGAUGCCAAUAAAACCUUUAAGGUUGAGUUGAAGGUUAUAGAGCAUAAAUAUCUUGCUACUGUAACAAGUAGACAAUAUUGGAUUUGGCACUAUCGUCUUAGGUAUCUCAACUUUAGAGAUUUCAAAGACUUUCAAAAGAACAGAAUGGUAACGGGGCUGCCAUCGAUCAACAUACUAGCUGAAAUUUAUGAAGAAUGUAUGCAAGCGAAGCAACAUAUGGGAAAAUUAAGAAAGUAGAUUCUAUUGGUGGCAAUAUGUAUUUUUUCACAUUUAUCGAUGAUCAUAGUACGAAGCUAUGGACAUACCUAAUCAAGAGAAAUGACGAUGUAUUUGAUGAUUGUUUGUCAUUGCAUAUAUUUAAUCGAAGAAUCAAAGAAAAAUAAGUGAAAUUUGAGAUAAAAUGAAGAAGAAUGAGGAAAAAAUAGCUAAGUGUGAAAAUUGUGGACUUAUUGAAAAUUUGAGUGAAAAGGGGAGCAAAACCGUGCAACCACGGGAAUAAUCACGCGCACCAUCACAUAGCAUCGUGCACGCGAUGGGGUCUUUAAAGCAGCAUUACACGCGCGAUACAAGGAAUCACGCGCGUGAUAAGUACUUUUUAUGGGCUUUUUAGACACGUUCUAGUCCAUUCUAACGCCUUUAAAAGAGGAUUUUCUGCACUUUCACAAGGGUUACAAAAUUGGGAGAUCUAGGCACGAUUUUGAGAGCACAAGUGGUGAUUUUUAUAGCAUUGGAAGCUAUUGGAGGCCAUUACUUCAACGUAUUUCACAUGUUAUUUUCAUCUAUCAAUUAUGGCAUUUUUAAUUGCAUUAUGAGUAGCUAAGCUCUUUUAUAUUAGGUUGUGUUAUGAUGAACCUAUUUCUAUAUUGUUGGAAUCUAUGUUGAUUUAACCAUUCUAAGAACCGUUUGAACUAUAAUUCCAUUCAAUUGCUUUUUGUUCAUAAUUCCUUUUAUGUGAGAUACUCUUUUAAUCUGAUUUUGGGCACAUAGGGAAUAUUGACUAUUAGUCUAUGUGUUGGACCUAGGGAAAUUGUUGUACUUACGCUGGUUGAAUAGGAAUAGGAGACCCUGAGUAGUGGCAUAGAGAAUUAAUGUUUUAUACAUCACCUAACCUUGCUUACGCUGGCAGACUAGGGAUAGAAAGCUCUGAGUAGUGGUUAGUGAGUUAUUUCGCGAGGGAUCAGCUAUAACGGUUUUGUUAAUUCGAUGUGGUGUUAUAGUGAUAAGACCAUUCGUAAAAGAUAUAAAACAUCAACAAUAGAGGAAUAGGGGAUUCUAGAACACAAUAUGCUCGUUUUCGUGAUAUUGUUUAAUUGUUUAUUUACUUUUCGCACUGAAACUCGAAAACCCCCCUUUUUACUAGUUUUCUAUAAAUUGCACACAUUUUGUCUUGCCUGAAGGAAAUUCAUGUGGAUUCGAUCUUUUUAUUACUUCGACAAUAUCAAUACACUUAUCGAGAAAUCAUUAAGUUUUUGGCGUCGUUGCCAGGGACUGUUGAUUUUUCAACAAGGCGAUGUUUGUGCAAUUUUUAUUUUUAUUUUUUUAGUCUUUUAGUUUUUUUUUUCUUUUUCUUGUUUAUCAUAGUGCUAUUGAGGUAUUUUUUGUUUGUGUAUGCACAAUUUAGGAUCAACAUUAAUACCAUUGGUUCUAGAAAUUGAAAGAACUACACGUGCUCUCAGAAAAGCAGUUAGAGAAGCAGCUCUGAAAGGAGGAAUACUAGAAGAAGAGCAACUAUCAAAUUCUUCUGACUCUGAAGAAGAAGCUGUAAUGGAAGCUGCACAACCCCUAACUAUGGGGCAUUAUUAUAAAUUAACCGAUGAAGGACACUUAUCAAGAGGGUUUGUGCUGGUAGACCCUGCUAACUUUGAUAUUAAAAAUUAUGUGCUUUAAGGUUUGAGAGAAAAUUCGUUUGAUGGGAACACGAUUAGAGACCCAUGGGUGCAUCUUACACACUUUUAUGAAAUAACUUAAAUGUGCAAACCAACUGAUGCCACUGAAGAGCAGGUUAAAUUGAGGUUGUUUGGGUUCUCACUAAUUGGAAGGGAGAAAGAUUGGUUACUUUGCCUUCCGAAUAAAACGAUACAUACUUGGAAGGAAUUAAAGGAUAAAUUCCUCGAAAUAUUUUUCAUUACUACUCAGUUUACCGAGCGCUAAGCAGAAAUUGUGAAUUUUGUGCAGCAGGAAACUGAGUCACUUUAUGACUCUUGAGAAAGAUUCAAAUUUUUGUUACGCAGAUGCCUGAAUCACAACAUGAAUAAUAUGGUGCAGAUGUAAAACUUCAUUAAAGGUCUCAAGAGUCAAACUCACAUGUUAUUGGAUGCUUCUACGAGAGGUACUAUCUGAAAAAUGAAUGAACCACGGGUAAAAGAUCUCAUUAAGAAGAUGUGUAUGAAGGAGUACCGAUCCAAGAAUGAAAGGUCGGUCAAGAUGGGAAUUGUGGGCACGCCUAAAGGUAUGUUACCUAUUGAUACCCACACUGCUCUUUUAGCUCAGAUUGAAUUAUUAAAUAAAAAUCUAGUUGGAAGCAGCUUAGUUAAAGCUAAUGUAGGCUAGGUACAAGCACUUGGGUGCGAUUUAUGUAGAAGAGAACAUGCGAAUGAAAGGUGUUCAUUGGAAGAGACAAGUGAGGAGGUCCAAUUUGCUAAUUUUUUAAAAAAUAACUUGUAUUCAAACACAUACAAUCUGGGUUGAAAAGACCAUCCAAAAUUCCGUUGGAAUAAUAAUCAAAAUUCAAAUGCUAACUAAGGGAUGCAACAAAGUCAACAAGCUCUGUUUCAAAGGAAUCCCAUCACAGUUGGUAGAGACCUCACAAAAUUUCAUUAAGGUCACUCAAAGUAGAUUUGAUAGGGUAAAGAAGACCCAUGAAUAAAUGAGUAGAAACUAGGAUGCGUCUAUCAAAAUUUUGGAGAUGAAGAUUGGUUAAUUAUCUAGAAAAGUAGCUACUUUGUCAAGCUCAAGUGGAGGAUUCACCAGUAACACCGUUGAUAACCAUAAGAAUGAUAACCCUAAAUAUAGGUUUAAGGGCAAUUACUGAAAAGGAUAAGGAUGAGAUAGUUAAACAAUGUGUGGUUAAGGCAUAUGAGGGUACCUGUAGCACCUCAAAUUUGCACCCCCCAUUCAUGCAUUCAUUUCAUUUUUUAGGUCAUUUAUCAUUCCAUAUUGCAUUGCAUUUUGGCAGUCAGCAUUGGCAUCAAGAGAUUCAUCAGUACAAAAGAGAAAGUUUUUUCUUGAGAUGAAGGCCAAAUGAUUAUACUAAAGAGCUUAUAUGAGCCCAGGUUCAUUUUGAAGCAAAGUUACCAAGUGGUAGAGGCCCAAACUCAUCAGUGCACUUCCAGGUCAUCUGAGGCCCAUACAAGUCAACUAUGCAGUCAACUAAGGGCUUUGAGUUGGGGAAAUGGUUUGAGACACUUCAUUCAUGUCCAAAAGAGGCUUUUUCAUCAUGUCAAACAUCUACCUUGAAGAUUUUGAAGUCAAAUCAAAAGUUUCCAAAAAUGGAAAGUGACCUGUAAUUCAAAGUUUCCAAAAAUGGCAAGUUUUUAGACCACAUUCAACUUGACUUUCCAACAUCAAAUAAGCUUCAAAUGAAUUUUUGGUCAACAUGAAAGUUGAAGAUAUUUCUCUCCUAUUUCCAAAAAGUCCAAGAGUAUGAGUAUCUGAUGAAUGGUUGAGAAGUUAUGAACAAAUGAUUGCAAAGUAUGCAUGGAACUUCAAAGUGCCAUAACUUUUGAUCCAAAACUCCAAAUUGAGCCACUCUUUUUGCAAAAUGCUUGUAUUGACCAAUAUUUUCCAAAUCAAACAUUGCAUUGCAUGAAAUUAACUCACAUGAUCAUUUGUCCAUGCAUGUAUAUUUUGGAGGGAAAAUGGAUAAUUCAAAUUCUAUUGAUCAUACAUGAAAAAUUCCUAUGCCAUUGUGAUCUUUGGAUGAUUUUAAGUGACUUUUAACCAUGCAUGUGCACUGUUCACGUGUAAAAUCUCCAUGCACCACACAUUUACCAUUUUUGCAUUACACCUCAUUUCUCAUUAAGUUUCCAUUAGCCAAGCCUAAUUGUGAUUAGCAUGAUAAUUAACAUGUGAUAUAAAUAGAUAAUCCUAACUGAAUUGGAUGAGAUUACACAUUCUAGAUCUAGAAAUUGGAUUUCCCUCCAAAAAUUCUCUCAAUUCAAACAUCAAAUUUCUACACAUAACUCAUGAAUUUUCUUGCAUAAUUGUGUUCAUCUUGCAUCAUUGAGUAAGAAUCAAGGCCUGGACUGAAGGAUUUGGUGCAGAGUCGAGCUCCACGAAUGCAUGAAAAUGAAGAAGGUUUUCUGAAUUUGAGCUUCAUUUAGGUAGUUUCAAUUGCUAUUCCUUCCAUAAAGCUUCACCUCAAGGUUGAUAGAGGAGACCUGGAGCUGGAGGAGGCUUGAAUCCACGAAAUCAUCGCACUGUUCUUCAAGAAGGUUAAAAUUUGAAUCUCAUUAUUUGCCAUUUUAUGCACAUGAUCUUGUAGGUCGUGCUCCACUGAUGAUUCUGAUAUGAAUAUUAUUGAUUUUGGCUGGAUAUUGAGUGAGUUAUGAUGAAUUAAAGUUUGUAUGCUAAAUUUGUUCUUGCUCGAUCCAUGAGAUAUGUGAUGAUUUAGAGUGAAUUAGGCAUGGAUUUGGAAUGUACGUUAUGCAAGCUUUCGAUCCAUAUCAUUUUUGCAUGAUUCUAGAAUUUUUUUGAUGCACCUUCAUCGGCGUACCACCGGAGAAGAUGACCGAAAGUACUAUUCCGGUCAUCUGGUUCAUGAGCUAGGGUUUUAAUGUGCGCACCUGUAACCAUGCAAGCCCCAGUUCGAUCCUUGGCAACUGUUAUUUUAAAAUCCAUUUAUUUUCUCCCUAUGAUCCAAACGUUGCGUUUUGCUCUAGCGCCCUUGUGAACAAGCCUUGCCUCUGUUCGAUUCUUGGCCUGGCAAUUAUCCCAAUUGAUUUUAUUGAGCGCGCCUAUGACCCUAUAGUCCUCAGUUCGAUUCAGGCGCUUUGCAUUUUUUCUUUUAUUUUCAAUUGAAGCGCUGCCUUGGACCUUUGUGUCCUGAGUUCAAUCCCUGACCAAGUAUUUUUCAUCUUUUAAUUCACAUUUCAUUUUUUCACAUGAUUGUUGUGAUGUCUAUUAUUUUUUGAUGUGAUUUUCCUAAUUUUUGUAUUUCUGGAAUUUUAAAUGUGUUUGUGUGAUUGAACAUGAUGCAAAUAUGACAUGUUAUGCUAAAUGUUUUAUGAAAUGCUCAUAUUUUAUCCAAUUGCCUUGAAAUUUGACAUGCUUGAUCUAUACAUGUGACAUGAUUUUUGAGCUUUUGUUUGGCAUUUUUAGCACAUUCCAUCACUGUUUGGGACACAUGAACAUAUGAUGUAGCAUUUGGUGUCACAUUCUUGACCUUGCUUGUGUUCAUUUUCAUUUGCAUGUCAUUUGAUAUCUUCUGGACCUAAUUCUUUGCAUGAUGCUUGUGUUUAAAAUUUUGAUCUCACAUAAAAAAUUUCAUGAUCAUUGGAUGCAUUUCUGUUUUAAUGUGGAUUUUCUACCUUUUUCUUGCCUUGUGUAGAUGAUGAAUAAGCACCACUGUUGAUUGACUGUUUGGUUUGUCUGAAUGUGAUAUUGACUGUUUGACUUUUGUACAGGUACAUUAGUCGCUUUUAGCUCUCGCUUGAGCUUUGCUUUGGUUGUGGUUGAUAUACCACCUAGGUAAUCACUCUAACUCCAUGUAGUCUGGAAGCCCUGUCGUUUCUUUUGGCAUGCAUUUGGUUGAAGUCCUCCUUAAGAGGCAAUGACUGUGUUUAUUUAUAUUUAUGCCAAAGACCUCCUUGUCGAGGCAUGUUACUUGUUAAGUCCUCCUAAGUGAAGAGGCAAUUGACAGAUGGAAAGGAUUAGCAAUCAAUCCCCUGUUAUUCGUUGAAUCGUUCAUUAUGCUCGCACUAUAUGCUGAUGCUCUUGAACCUAACCCAAGAUCCUUGUAUAUAGAGUCAGUCAAGUGGAAUAGGGUCCCUCUUUCUGGAUCCCCAGGUUUUCAUUGAUUUGAGCUCACCCAGGCCAGGGUUAAGAGCAUGAGGUCUUAUCCUCAUUACCUUUCAUCAGCUUCACCCUAACUCUCAAUGUUAGUGGUUAAGAGCUUCAGCACACCCCUACAGUUUUGGCUUGUUUGUCGAGGUUGAUAUGACCCCUUGACUAAAGCCUUACCCUCAGAUGUUUGAGCCCCUUGUUGGCGUGUUUACUUCAUGUAUAUGUUUUUGUGUGGUGUGAUUGUAUCCCCAUAGGAUUGCUAGACUUCGUAUAGUCUCUCGUUUGCAUGUCAAUUAAGGUAGCAUGGUUCCUUCGUCUAGGACUUCCUUUCUUGCGUGAGCAUUCCUAAAACACAAACAAACUUUAUCUUCUCUUAAGGACACGUUGACUCCUUCUACUACAGGUGAGUAAGUCUCCAAAGGUCGAGCAUCCAUCUAGGACUUCCUUUCUUGCGUGAGCAUUCCUAAAACACAAACAAACUUUAUCUUCUCUUAAGGACACGUUGACUCCUUCUACUACAGGUGAGUAAGUCUCCAAAGGUCGAGCAUCCGGUAGAUUGCAUAGUAACGUUGUUCACCUAAAAAACACAACAAACAGAAAUAGUUUAGCCGAACUACGACAACUCUGAUUCUCAUGUUCAGAUGAGAUACGUAGGCAUGAGAUGCGAUGUCUUGUCGAGUUUGACUGACGACUAACAUUAAUCCUUGCUAGUUUUCAUCCUCGUUGCGAUUCUUUUCUCUCGCCCUCGUUGCGAUUGAGACCUUCCUUUUCUCUUGCCCUAGUUGCAAUCGAGACCCUUCUUCUUUUCGUGUGUGUUUGUUAGGAGUCGGAUAUAAGUCCAUCUAUUGGCAUUCUGUUUCCUGUUUGCGUGUGUGUUUGUUAGGAGUUGGAUGUAAGUCCAUUUAUUGGCAUUCUGUUUCCUUGUGUGUUUGUUCGGAGUCGGAUGUAAGUCCAUCUAUUGGCACUCUGUUUCCUGUUUGUAUUUCCUUGUUAGGAGUUGGAUGUAAGUCCAUUUAUUGGCAUUCCGUUUCCUUUGAGUGUUCUUUUGACGUCUCAGCGUCUCUUUUCAGUGUUUUGUUUCGGCGUGCGUUAGCCGAGCUACGAGUGCUCUGAUUCUUCCUCUGGUUAGAGAAGAUACGUAUGCAUAGGAUGCGAUGUCCUAGCGAGCACGUCUCCCAUUUCCCCGAACUACGUCGACUCUGAUGUUUGUUUCUGACAAACUACGUAGGCCCAGGAUGCGACAUCCUGCCGAGUCUGCUUUCUCCGUCUCCUCUUCCGCCUGUUUAUUAUUCCAUUGCGUGCAGUCUUUGAGCAGUUUUAUUAGCAACCUUAUUCUUUCCUUCUGAGCGUGGAUCCCAUCGAGUACGACGGACGUGAGGGGUGCUAAUACCUUCCCCUUGCGUAACCGACUCCCGUACCUAGCAAUCUUUGUUCGUAAGACCAUUCCUUUCCCUUUUUCAGGUUUACUUCGAGGGUUUCCUUUCCCUCCUUUGGGAUAAAUAACGCACGGUGGCGGCUCUGUGUCUUUUCCCGCCGGUUGUUUUUCGCGAUGCGACAGUACCAAUCAAGGUGACCAAGAGGAAAGAGGAGUCACCAUUGAUCAACUUAUAGACAAAAAUUCUCCUUGGAGGAGAACAAAGAGGCAUAUCUUGACUGAACCAAAUCCUCCUUUACCAGAUUACGUAAAACCACCGUAGCCGAUAAUUAAAAAGAAAUUGGUUCAAGAUGAUGAAGCGGGAAUGUUUGCAAAGUUCAAGGAAGUUCUAGCUACUCUCCAGGAAAGUAUUUCAUUCCAUGAAAUUUUAGAACUAAUGCCUAAGUUUGUUAAAUUUAUGAAGGCGUUUCUAAAUGGGACGGAAGAGAAAUGAAUCAAGGAACAUGUAAACAUGACCGAAAAUGAUGAUAUGGUAAAACCUCAAUCCUUACAACCUAAACUAAAAGACUCAGGUAAGUUUAUUAUUUCUUGUAAUAUCAGUGGAUUCAAUAUUCUGCAUGCUCUAUGUGAUCUGGGGUUUAACAUAAAUGUCAUGCCACUGAAAACUGUCAAAGAAUUAAAAAUGGGUGAGAUCACACUGAAUAACAUGACUCUCACUCUAGUUGAAUCGUCUAUUACUCAAUCGAUUGUUACUUUACGCAACAUAUUAGUAUCUGUGGACGACUUAUUGUUUCCUAUAGAUGUUGUAGUGCAUGAUACAAAAGGAGAUUAAGGAGGAUCUGUUAUUCUUGGACGUCCAUUCUUGGCAACCGAGAAAGCAAAGAUUGAUGUGGACACUGGUCAACUUAUCUUGAAGUCAAAUAAAAGGAAUGUGGUUUUCAAGGUAUUUGACUGGGCAUCUUAUGUGGAUAAUUUGGAUACUUUAUACCAUCCGGAGGAAAAAGGUAGAAAAGUAGACAAAGGAACAAUGAGAAAGGAAGUGACAGGCGUGAGGGUAUCCCUUGCACCUGACGUACCUUAGACAUGGAUUGUCAAGCUAGUUACGUAAAAAAAGCGUCUGAUGGGAGGCAACCCAUCCGUAAGAAAUUAUUUUUAUGUCAUAGUGAAUUUUUAUUUUUCUAACCUUGUUAAUUUUUGUGUUAUGUUGUUCGAAGAGAAAAUAGGUAAAAGAAGAAAAGAAAGAAAAAGAAAAAGGGAAGAAAAUAGAAAAAGAAAAGAGAUAGGAAAGUUUCAGCCCCUGGAAUCAUCACGCAUGAUAAUAUAAACUAGUUAUUUACAAUAAAUUUUUUUGAUAUUUAUUUAAAGAAGCACAAUUAAUAUAAAGACAAUAACACACCAAUCACACAUAAUAAUUUUAGAAUAAUUAUACUCUAAGAUUUUGAGAGUCGUGAUAUCUCCUCUUCUUAAAUGUUUAAGAAUUGGAUCUCUCUCACUAAUCUCUAUCCCCUUAUUUAUUUUAAGAAUAAACAUAUUGAAUUAAUAAAACAUAAUUGCACAUUUCUUAUAGCGAUUAUACAAACAACUAUCAAAGUUGAAAAAACUAAAGAGAGGUCAACUCAAUCUUUAUCAAAUUAAAUUAAAGUUUAUUUUAAAACACAAACAACUAGUUCAUUAAAAAGAUAACUUGUUUAGUACACAAAUGAGAUCUUACUUAAUACAUAGAAAUAAGAUCUUACAAAACAUAGAUAUUAAAAACAUAGGAACAACAUGAAAAGUUUUCAAAAUGACAUAGACAUUGAUUAACAAAGACAUGAAUUAGUUUCGGGUAUUUUUUAACCAUCCAUCAAGGUAAACUUGUUUGGAGUCAGGGGUGAAUUUUUCUUUCUCGGCUCGGAUAUCUUUCAACCAUCCAUCAAGGUAAACCUGAUUGUUGUCUGAGGUGGAUUUUGUUGUCUCGGCUCGGAUAUCUUUCAACCAUCCAUCAAGGUAAACUUGGUUGGAGUCAGAGGGCAAUUUUAUUUUUUCAGCUCGAGUGUCUUUCAACCAACCAUCAAGAUAAACUUGUUUGGAAUCAGAGGUGGAUUUUGUUUUCUCUGCUCGGGUAUCUUUCAACCAUCCAUCAAGGUAUACUUGGUUGGAGUCAGGGGUGGAUUUUGUUCUCUCAUUUCGAGUAUCUUUCAACCAUCCAUCAAGGUAAACUUGGUUGGAGUCAGACAUGGUUUCUGUUUGCUUAGCUCGAGUAUUUUUUAACCAUCCAUCAAGGUAAACUUGGUUGGAGUCAGGGGUAGAUUUUUCUUUCUCAGCUCGGGUAUCUUUUAACCAUCCAUCAAGGUAAACUUGUUUGGAGUCAGAGGUGGGUUUUGUUUUCUCUGCUCGGGUAUCUUUCAACCAUCCAUCAAGGUAAACUUGAUUGGAGUUAGGCAUGGACUUUUCUUUCUCGGCUCUGGUAUCUUUCAACCAUCCAUCAAGGUAAACUUGGUUGGAUUCAGAGGUGGAUUUUGCUUUCUUUGCUCUGGUAUCUUUCAACCAUCCAUCAAGGUAAACUUGGUUGGAGUUAGGUAUUGACUUUUCUUUCUCAGCUCUGAUAUCUUUCAACCAUCCAUCAAGAUAAACUUGGUUGGUGUCACCUGUAGAUUUUGCUUUCUCAUCUCGAGUAUCUUUCAACCAUCCAUCAAGAUAAACUUGGUUGGAUUCAGAGGUGUCUUUUGCUUUCUUUGCUCUGGUAUCUUUCAACCAUCCAUCAAGAUAAACUUGAUCAGAGUCUUGGGAGGAUUUGGUUUUCUCUGCUCGUGUAUCUUUCAACCAUCCAUCAAGAUAAACUUGGUUAGAAUUAGCAAUUUGUUUUUGACUCUUCAAUGGAUUUUUGAGCCAACCAUCAAGGUAAGGUUGAUCAGCUUGUAUUUCUUCUACAUUCUCUUGCUGAAGUUUGAUAUAUCGGGCAAAGCUUCCUUGUCCAUUCUACGAUACAAUUGAAUAAAUGGAUAUUAGUGAGUUAUUUUUGGAUGGUAUAUAUGACUAUAAAAACAAAAUUAUGUGUUUUAUG
rnacentral:lncRNA from 1 species